AUAUUCAAGGUCAUGUAAGUCAACAAGUUAUGUUCCAACAAAGUUCACCCACCAUACAUAAUUUGUUCUUUAUGUGAGCAAAAACUUUAUUCCUUUCCAAUCUAUUUGUGAGAGAAUCAAAUGCAUGUCCGUGUUGCAGAUAAACCUUUACAACCAAAUUUGCCUUCAAGUGUUCAUUGCCAUAGAAGCUUAAACACCUAUCUGCUUGUGUUCACAUAAAAACGUAGUAACUUACUAAUGUGCCGAAUAUUAGAGCUCUAUGAAUAAAUUAGACCAAAAGACUUAACAUAUCCAGUUUUGACCCUAGAUUUAACUAUGGUAAGUAACACAGAAAUUGCAACGAUAGGUACAAUUAUAACAAAAUACAAGACAAUAAAUAAACAUGUAAAACAUUAAUACAAGACAUUAAAUAAACAUGUAAAACAUUAAUACACAUUGAAACAAAAAAUCAUUUACUAAACCAAGAUGUUAAAGAGAGGUGGCGAUGAAAGAAGAAAAAGCAUAUGCACUGGUUAGCAAAACUACAGGCUAACAAUGACUAACACUAUCAUGGAUCAUUAUACUUAACAUCGAUGCAGUAAUGCUAGUGUGCAUGGACUUAGUUUAAAUCUAAACGAUCUGUUGCUUACCUCUAGCUGGUUGACUUUAAUGUACUCCCAGAUACGUCUCAGAACCUCUGUCUGUAACAUCUCCCUUCCAGUAACACCGAAAAAGUUAGCAAGUGAAUCAGAUAUUAUUACAGAAGGAGUAGGAGCAGGUUCAGCACUUCGUGUUCCCACCUCCACUUCUACCUUCUGUUUUUUUGGGGCAGGCUUUUCUGAAAGUUCCAAAGCAUGGACAAAUCAAACAAUGCACUAAAACCACAAUUUUAUAGAAAUAUUACCAUAACCCAGACACUUACUGGUUGGUUCAAGGGCGAUUAUGUGUUUAGCCAGUAACUUAUUCAUCUUGAACAUAUCAGUACAGUCCGUCUCAAACACCACGCGCAGUUCAUCGUUGCAAAUUAUCUUCCUCUUAUUGCUAGGAUCUUGGAGAUUGUUUUUCUUUAUGUAAGCCCACAGUUGCUUCACAAUCUAAACCAUUCAAUCCACAAAUUAUAAAUCUUGAUGGAAACCACGUUUAUAACAUGUAAAGUCUACAACAAACUUCAAAAACAUCACAGCAACUGCACAAACCUCAGUCCUUGGCAUUGCCGGCUGGCCAACAAUGACCUGAAGUUCAGGCGAAACACCACAAAGUUUGUUGAGACCUCCUGGCCCGCCUCUUCUCUUUGGCUUAGGCUGAGCACUGCAAGAUAACAACAUGAGUGUAGUAGGAUUACUUGACAUGACCAAAUACCAUUGCAAACAAAAAGCAAUUAACAAGAUCGGGAUAUAACACAUCAUAUCAUAUACAUAUUAAGAUACAAAACAAAGUUCAUUCGUAUGCAGACUGCCAAACCCCCAUCAGGUCCGGCUUGGAAAUGGUAGAUGUACGCAAAUCAGUGUUGAUGUAUAGCAGCUACAGCAACGCGGUAUCCACUAUAUUGUAGCGAAAUUUAGACAAAUCGCUAUUGUUCCGCGAUACACUAUUUAGUACAAAUUGUUGUCAAAUAGCGGCGCUAUAGCACUAUUGCAAAGCCAAAUUUCAACAAUCUGCAAUUUUCCGCUAUCCGUCCGUGAUUGACAGCACUGACGCAAACUUAUCCCAACAAGUAGAAAUAGAACGACUAUUUCCAGGAUUCGAACCUAUGGCCUCCACAUAUCAUUUUCAUAAACAUUAUAUGACUCUAAUAAUUCAAAACCGAAAAAACAGUCCAUCUUAGAAUAAAGCUUCCACUUUCCAGUACCACUUGAAUAUUUUGUUUACAACCCAGCAUCAUUUGAUAGUAGAUCUGAUUCAUAUCCCAUACCAUACCAAAUACCAAUACCCAACAACUAAACAUUUCAUUCCCUCUUUACACCCUAACUACUACAACACAAAAAUCUCUUAUUUCGGAAAUUACAACCUUAAUCAGAUCCCUUUCAUUCAUGCCAUUUUUUCCCUCUUUCAGCUUAUAGCAUGACCACUCUAAAACAAGUUGAAAACAACUGAUGAACAUGUCAUAAGUUGUUUUCAUAUGUCAUAUAAAACAGUGUCACACAUGCUUAUUCCAGUAGAUAAGCUCAAAUAAAUAUUCCAAACAGAAUAAUUAUAUAACUACAAUAAUUCAAAACUGAAAAUUUUAUCCAUCUUAGCAUAAGGCAUUCGCAUUCUAGUUCUACUUGAAUUGUACACCCACCUACUCACCAAAACUUGAAUUUUAACCUAAUCUCAUACAUCAGGAAAGCAAUAACUCCUACAACUAAAACGACCAACAUCAUUACAUAGAUCUGAUUCAUAUUCCAUAGCACAACAAAACAUGCCUUAAAAAAAAAAACAAAAUAAAUCCCUCAUUUUCAAAAUUAGAACGGCCAAGUCUUACCCCAAUAAGUGCAGUCGGCUACAUGGAUCAAAACAUGCUAUAACGCGGCGUUUCUAUCUAACUCAUUAAUCUCCGUAUCUUUUUUACCGGUUAUUUCCAAAAUUACAACAUAAAAAAACAAUGUUUAAGUAACAUUAAUUAAUCACUUAAUUAACCAAACCUCUCUUUCAUUCAUGACAUUUUCCUCAUUUGAGUCAUUUCCCAUUCAUGCAACCAUUUAAAAAAAAUAUAUAUAUAUCCAAAAACCAUUAAAGAGAUCUCUUCCAACUUAGAGGUCAUGAGUUAAAAUCCAGCUUUGGGAAUGAAGCAGUGUUAAGCCCUUACUCAGCGAUUAAUCUUUGUAAUUUUAAGCUAUAGUUUGGAGAUUAAUCUAUGCAGGUACACAACAGGUCAAACACAAUAACAAAAAAAGUAAAAAAAAUAAAUAAAUAAAUUAUUUAUAAAAAAUAAAAAUAAAAAUAAAAAACUAACCUUUCCUUGGGAAGCACAUUGGCAGAAACAUGAGCAACAGAAGCAUCAGCAACAGCAGCAGAAGAAACAACAACGUUGUUACGAAAAGCAGAAGUAACAGGGACAGAAUGGGAAUUAGGGUUUUGGUGAAGGGUAAAAUGGUCUUUACGUUCAAAAGAAAUAAGUUGAGGUUGUUGUUGAGGUGGUGGAGGUUGUUGUAACUGCUGCUGCUGGUGGUGAUGAACAUGUUGUUGUUGAUGUUGAGAAGAAGCUGCAAAAAGAAGAUUGAUCUGUUCCGUAAUGAAAUCAAUCUUAUGAGUAAGAUCAUAACCACCAAGUUUAGAUUGAAGCUCUGAAACAACUUGGUUCAAUGUAGUGAAUGUUCUUGUUCUAGGGUUUGUUUCUGUGAAUAAUGAAUGUAUUGCUGAACAUAUUUCUUCUUCUGUUACAUUAACCAUUUCGACUCAACUUUUUUUCUCUCUGUUUUUUGUUUUUUUUUUUAAACUGAAACUAAUUAACGGACUCUUUCUUCUCUCUCUCUCUCUCUGGUUGUCGUUUUUUCUUUCUUUCUCUCUCUUUCUCUUUCUCUUUCUGUUUCUCUCUCUCUCUGUUGUGUUUUUUCAAAUUUAAAUGAAAUGAAAAAUGAAAAAGUAGAUAAUGACAGGAACCUCGUGGGUUGUUUAAUCGUAGGCUGCCACGUUGUGCUUCUCGAAGCUAAACACUUACAUCAAACCGUCAAUUCACUUCCUAGUGAGUUUAGUUUGAAUUGAUUAAUCACUUAAGUUUACUAUGAUAAAUUAUGCUUUUAACACACUCUUCUUAACAUAUUUAUUAUCUCUAGUUAGAUCCAUUUUAAAUACUCAUUUUAGUUAUGUUUAUAAGAAAAAAUUACUCCCUCCGUCCCUAAUUAUAAGACCCUUUUGAGAAUUUUUUUUGUCCCUUUUUAUAAGACCUCUUUAUUAUUUCCAACUACAUUAAUUAUUUCUUUACAUAUAUGCCCCUAUUUAUUAUACAUCUUUUUCUUCAAUCAACAAUAAAUAACAUGUUGAAAAUAUAAACUAACCUUCUUUCUUAAAGGAUAAAAUUGUAAAAACAAUAGUGAUUACAAACAACUUUAAUACAAAUAUCCACUAUCUUAAUUCCCGUAAUUUUCGCAAAAGGGUCUUAUAUAUAGGGACGGAGGGAGUAUUUUUUAAAAUUUAUUGAAUAAUUAAUGCAUGUAACUUGUAUAGUGACUGAAUACAUUAAGUAUUCAACGAAUUUAAUAAGUUGUUUUUUUUCUUAUAAAAGUAACGGAGUGAAUAGAUCUUAGUAAUUUAUGUGACGUUUAUAUGUUCAUUUGAAUUUCAAUCAAUUAAAGAGUGUGUUAAAAUGUAUAUUGUUAGCAUUUCUUUUAUUAAGAUUAUAUAAAUGAAAGUUAGUUCACUUAGUAAGGAGUAGAUUCACAAUAACUUUAAAGAUUGUGAUCUCAAUUUUCAUUGUCGACGUGAGAAUCUCUUAUAUAUAACUAUCUCUUUAAAUUAUAUUUGAGUCUUGAGGUUUGCUCUGAUUCUGAUAAGUUUUGUAUCUCAACUCUAAUUAAACUAAACAUUCUUUUAAGAAAAAAGUUGAAAUGAAUUGUAAAAAGUAGUAAAAAAAAACUCUUAUUCAAGAAUUUUAAAGGUUGUAGCAUUUUUAAGACCUGAUCUAACAUGGUAGAAAGUAAUAAUUCAAUUGUUUAAAUAUUAUACGUAAACGACCAUCUUUUCUAUUGAGUUUAAACUUGACCACGGAUCUAGACUACGUAUUCAUAACCUUGAUGAAUUUUUUCCUUCUAUAACAUAUGAUGUUGUACUUUGAAAUAAAUGAAACAUUCAACAAAUCCAUCUAUCAGUUGAUUCUAAGUUCAAUCGGUAGUGAAAUUCAAUGAGUCUUGUACAAUAAAAACAACAAUUUAUUAUUUUUUUUAAUCAAUCUAUAUAUAUUUAAGUGAAUAUCCUUUGCAGUUAAAAGUCAAUUUUUCAUUUGUGAUCCAUCUAUCUUUGAAAUUCCAUAUCAGAUUCUUUUUCCAUUUGUCCAAAUAUAAUUAUUUAAAAUAUAAAUUGUUUAAGUCUCAAUAAAUAACAACAAAAUGUUUACGAAUAGAUAGAAAUCGAUAAACAAUGGACGCACAUUCUAUUAAUUUAAUAUAACACACACAUUGAGUUAUUGUGUGUGCGACCAAAAAUUGAACUUUAAGGUUAACCGUUGGUGAUAACAUAUGGCUCAUAUUUUAUGACUGCACUAUUCUUUUGCUUUUUGUUUUUAUUUUCAAGAACUCGGGUUCAAACAUAUAUAUUUUAUAUAUAAACAAGACAACAUUAUAUGAAAUAUUAAGGACAAACCAACCAAAACCGUAAGCAACAUUAGAAUUAGUUGGAUUGAAAUGACCAAUAAGUUGUUGAUCAUCAUCAUUUGAUGUUGAGGAAACUGAAGAAACUGUUGAUAAUGAUGGUGAACUUUAUAAGCUUCGACUAUUAUGGUGUUGUUGUUGUUCUUAACAAACUUUGUGGAAAAUAUAUUGGGGUUUGGCUUACACCAAAAAAGUUAACUUAACCUUUUUUUUUAUGGCUCUCCGAUGUGGAUUUCAACAAUUGAUAGGAGUUAUCCUUGUAUAUCAUCUAUUUAUAAAGGGAAAUGUUAACUUGUAAGGGCACAAGAUAAGAAUCUUAAAAUAGAAUUAAUAAUAAAUAUUGUAUUAAAAAGUUAACUAUUUAACCUUUUGAGGUAUUGAAUGCAUAAUUUCCAAAGUUAAAUUUCUUUAUUUAAUUUCUUAUCUUGUGUCCUUAGGGCACAAGUUAACAAGACCCAUUUAUAAAAUAUAUUAGCACUAAUAAAAGGGUUAUUUAUUUUUUAUUUGAGUUUAUGCAAAAUCUUUAAUAAAAAUGAAAGAUAUGUCUCAUGAAUUAAAUUACAAUGAUAUUACUCAUUUAAUUAAAUCAGCACCAAACUCUGGUUCUCAAUCUCACAUACAAAUCUUUCUCGGUUUCUCUGAUCUAUUAUUGAUCUAAGGUAUCUAAAACUAUGCUUAACUUUCUUUUAUGAUUAAUCAACUUAAUUUGUUGUUCUGAAUAUUGCAAUUACAUGAGUGUGAUUGAUUAUGAAUAAGGAUUUAGGUUGUGUUUGAUUUUGGUGUUGUUCUCAUUUUAUAUGUUUUAAUGUGUUUGAUUUUGCAAUUUAACAUGUGUGUGAUUGAUUGUGACUUGUGAGUAAAGAGAUUAUGAAUGCGGAUAAGUUGAAACUUAUUUGUAUAUUUGAUUUCAGUUUCAAUUAUUAUGUUUGAUAUGAUUUUGCAAUUUAACAUGUGUGUGAUUGAUCUGACUAAGGAUUUAGGCAUGAGAAGGUUUGAUUACGGUUUCUAUAUUUGAGUUGAUAUGAAUUUACAGCUUAUUGUGUUGAUUUAGUUCUUGAAUACAUUCAAAAUGAUAAUACGAUAUGCAUUCAAAACUGAUUGGUUAUAUUUUUUUGGUCUCAAAUUGUUGUUAUAUUUAAUAUUUAUGAGAACUGAGAGAAAGCUAGUGAGAGAGGAAGUAUGAGAGGUACACUACUCUAUUUAUCGAUUAGGUUUUCAAUCAUCAUUUAACCAUCUAAUAAGACAAUAAGUAAAUAGUUAAAUGGUUGUGGGCUGAGGACUCUUAAUGGUUCAUUUAAAGUCAAAACUCAAUACAAUAUAGUACAUUACCAUUUGGGGUGAAAUUAGUUAAAUAUUGACAUUUCUAAAAUGAAAAGUUAAAUGAUGAAUUUGCACAUUAUUAUUAAUUAGUAACAAACUACUAUAUGUGUACUUGGUUUUGAUUCCAACAUUUUGUUGUAUCCUAUAUUCUUAAGUGUACGAAUUUGUAAGAGCAACAGAUUGUUUUUUAAUGACAAAUAAAUAUAUUAUAAAUCAACACAAAAGAGUAGCAUAAAUCUAUUAUGUUUUAGUAGAAAAAAAAACUCUAUUAUAUUGGUAGUCAUGGUAUGAACAUUAUCGGUCUCUUCUAGAGUACACAUUCCUAGUUAAUUAUUUUCUUUUUCUAAUGAUAUUCGGCCAAGGAUGGUAUUUGGUAGCACAUGUCCGCUCACAUAGUCUAAACCAAACAAUUAUAAAUUAACAUGUACAAAAGAUACAUUGGUUCAGCCUAAUUGUUGUUAUACUCAUCCUAAUGUCCUUUACUGACCUAUAUAAAUGAGUUAAUAAUUUGUACCCAAAACUUAUUUGUGGCAAUGAAGCCAAGAGAAUUAUUGUUAAAUGGAUAAGUUUGAAACCUGUUAAUUUUAGAAAUCUACCUUACCGUAGUUAGGAACUAUUAGGCUGAAUGUACCAAGUUCACCUUCAAAAUUAAUCGGAUCAUAUAAUUAAUUGAUUGUUUUUAGGUUUUAACUGUUAUUAUUUUCCAUAAGUGAAACUAUGGAACUGAGUAUAAAUGGUUUAGGCAUGAUAAAAAAUAAUAGUAACAAAUUUGGUUGUUUGCUAGGGUGUGCAUGAGUUUAAUAAAUUUGGUUUAACACUUUAGGUGAUAAAGCCCACUUCGAAGAGCUGCAAUUUUUGUUAAUACUAUUUGUCAUUUAGUUAUCUUGAAUUGUUUGAUGUGAUUAGUUUUAUGUUUAAUAAUGGAUAUAUGAAUUAUAUGAAGCUACGAACUACUGAUUGUUGCUUAAAUAGAGAUGUCAUAUUUCUAUAUUUUUACCAAGUCUUUAACUUAUUUAUAACUUUAAUGUGAUUUUCAUGAGUUAAUUUGUAAGUGGAAGUUUCAUUUUUAGUUGAAGUUUUAUAACUAAGUCAUGAACUUAUUUCUAUACUUUUGUUUUCGCGUGUUUUUAUAUCUCUACAUUGUCCUUGAAUAUUAGAUUUCAAAAAUUGGUUUUGAAGUACAAAGUUUCAUCUUGAUGCGUUGUCCCGGGUCCUGAUACCUUUCUCCAAAGUUCCAUCUUGAUCACAUCAGGCAAUUCUUCAUAGGUCGAAUAUUCUCGUGACUCUUCCAAGAAUAGUCGUACCUCCUCCUAAAAAGUUGCAUGUAUACAUAAAUAAUAAAUGGAAAUUGCUUAAUAACUCUUAACUGCAAAACCAAACCGCAAAAACAGUCCAACCCAAAACAAACUUACUACACAACAGUACUAGAAUUCCAAAUCAGAAAAUAACGCCAUAUUGAUGACAGAUACAGAGAACGGCCAAAUUGCUUCCUAUUUAGAUUAUCUCUUUUUUUUUUGUCAAGAGAAUAUAUCUUUUUUAAUGAAAAGAAAUUAGACUAAGUUAAAUAAAAAAUUCAACACAGUGAUAAUUUAAUGCAAUACGGAGCUUAAAAAUUCAACACAAAGCUUAAAAACAAAAUCCUCAUUGAUGCUCUGCGCAAAAGAUGAAAACUUUAUGAAUAUGUUUCAAGGCAAAGUAGUAUCAUUAAAUAUCCAGCAAGCAAUGAAAACCAAAGAUAAAUAAAAGUAGGUAGUGACAGGCAACGUUAAUGACGACAAUGACAUCCGUGACAGUAACGACUAUGAAGAAAAGUGCACCAAUAACAACGGAAACACUAACUGCGACAUAUAUAAGUUACUUGGAAUUAAGAAGUUUGUGGCAGUACCCACAAUGUGAUGCAGUGCAAAAGAAACUUGUCAAGUUUACAUAUAGUAACAAACAGUGUAGAAUUUAAUGUAUUACAUUAGUAUCAAAGUAGAAAUUCACAUGUGUGUUAUAGGAGCGAUCAUCGACGUAGACAUCUGUACCAUGUAUAAUAUGGUUUUCUCGAUGAAGUUUGUCUACAUAGGGAUCUCUUCCAAGAUCUUUUGCCUAAUUUGUCAUAAAAAGUUAUUUAAUUACAUAAUCUGACUAAUUAAAUAUAUAUAUAUAUAUAUAUAUAUAUAUGUAUAAAAACAUACAAAAUUCAUAUAUUUUUACCAUAUGUCUCGCGUGGGUUGCACCACUAACAGAACCUUGUGUGUGGCAAGCUUCUCUAGAACUUGCUCUAUUCCUUUUAUUAGUCGUGGAGCGCCUUCUAUAUCUCUCAUUUGUAGCCCAAUAGGACAACAAGGCAUGCCAAUCUUCUUUGCCCAUCCAAUGAGGGCGAUAAGAACGGUCUUCAACAACAAUAUUCUUCUGUUCAUCAGAUAACAUAUCUGACAGACGUGAACUUGCUAAACGAUGAAAAAGACGCUCAACAUCAGAUUCAUAUUGAGGAUCCUACACACAAUUUCUUUUUUAAAGAUUUAAUUAUUAAUUUUUUUUUAAAUCAACCCCAUAGAAAAUAAAAGAUUUAAUUAUUUCUUUUUACCUUAAACUCUUUUAAAACAUUAUCCCCAAUUUCUUUCUUAAGAUCCUUAUACACGGGCGACGGCUUUUUCUACACUGCUUGGAUUGCCUCCCUUAUGUAUUUUGUAGAGAUUUUCGAUGGCUCCAACCUGAACGUUUAAAUUGAUAAUUAAUAUAUGACUAAACAAAAUAAAUAAGUAAGAAAUUAAAGUAAGUAGAAAAUUAAUUUGUUAAUACUUACGAGUCAACCUUAAUUUCGAGUAUAUAACGCAUCUUGAACGUUGGCGCCACUUCAUAGUAGUGACGUCUCACUCAUCUUUGUCAUGCUGCUUCCCUUUCUUGUUGCUGGCUUUGAUGUUCUUUCUCACAGUGUUGUUGUUGUUGCACAUUGGGUACUAGCAUAAAUCCUCCCUUAAUACCAAAAAAUUCUAAAAAAACGACCAUUUUAUAAAAGAUUUGAUGAUAUUGUAGGAGGUCUUGCAGAGAAAGAGUGUUACUAUAUCCGUGUGAGUGUGUAUAAAGUGGAGGAGUAACACUAGACAUAGUGCCUCCAGGGAAUGAAACUCCAUGUAUACUAGGAGAUGGAGUGGGAGGCCUUGCAGAGAUUGGAGUGAUAGUAUGUCUCGGUGAGUGUGUAUAGAGUGGAGGAUUAACACCAGACAUAGUAACUUCAGUGAAAGAAACUCCAGGUAUACUAGGAGAUGGAGUAGUAUCACGAUGGGCAGGUAGACAUGCUGUGGUUUGUUUGUCCUUAAUUCAAAUGUUGCUUAAUUCAAAUGUUUAAUUCAAAUGAUCCUAUGGGCAACAUAGUCAAUGACUCCACUGCUUAAUUCAAAUGUUGCUUACGGUUCUGGUUUGUUUGUCCUUAAUUAUCCCUAUGGAACUGAAUCACAAGUUUAUCUUAUUAGAAGUCCUAAGAUAUUUAAAGACUUCAAUGUGUUUCAAUGUUUUUCACUUUAAUAUUUCAUAUAACUCUGUCAUGUUUACAUAUAAAAAUAUAUGUUUGAACUUAAGUUAUUGAAAAUAAAAUCAAAAAGCAAAAUAACAAGUGACUCAUAAAAUAUGAGAGCCAUACGUGAUCACCAAUGGUAAACCUACAAUUUUAUGUUCAAUUUUUUGUUGCAUACACACGUUAAAUCAAUGUGUGCGUGUUAAAUUAAAAUAAUAGAAUGUGUGUCUGUUGUUUAUCGAUUUCUAUCUUUUCGUAAGCAUUUUUUGUUGUUAUUUAUUGAGACUCAAACAAAUUAUAUUUUAAAUAUAAUUAAAUAAUUAUAUUUGGGCAAAUGGAAAAAGAAUCUGAAAUGAAAUUUCAAAGAUAAAUGGAUCACAUAUUAAAGUUCAUAAGCAUGAGCGUCCAUAAAAAAGAAACAUUUCAUCGAUGUCAAAAAUGUAUCCCUACAAAUAUUGCGAAAGAUAAUUUGAAUCUCCACAGGCUUUAGGAAGACACAUAAAAGCUCAUAAACAUUUGCAUUAAGUAGAGAUAAAGUUUUCUUCCACUAGUAUUCUUAUGCAAAUUAUGGAGUGGAUGAAUGUCAUGCAAAAGAAAUUUCUCUUCUAUAAAUGUUUGUACGAAGUCAAACUCAAUAGUAAACAAACCAGCUCAUGUUGCCAUAGUCACUGAUCAUCAUACCAUUAAAAACCAAACAUGUCAUUAUGGAAUUAUUGAGCUUGAUUUUGCCCUCAAGGUAUGAAGUUUUAUUGUUUAUGUUUUAUCUAUAAACAAGGGAUAUUACUCGUUCAUUGCGACUAUAUUCUGACAAUUUGGAAGUUUUCAUCCAAUUUUUUUAAUUUUUGAUGUUUUUUUACCGUAGUAUAAUUUAUCACUAUAUUAAUUUAACUACUUUAUUACUAAAUAACCAUGUAUGAGGUUCUACAUGAUAUUUUUAAUAUUAGAACAACAACUUAGCUUAUACAAUAGAUUCUUCAUAAUAGAAUCAUAAUCCAGUUUGUGAUGAAACUCAAUUGCUCUAAUAAUGUUAUAUUUUAGGCUUAUAAAGCCUUUUUCAAACUACCUGUAACUCGCUAUCAAUUAUCAAUAAAGAAACUACAGCUGAAGAUACAAAAAGGUUGCAAUGCAUAGAUCACAAAUGAUCCAAUAUCUCUAGCAAACAUUUAUCUCAACACAUAUUAAAGAAAGAUGUGGUCAUGACAUAUAUUGCCACUACAAGAAAUCAUCCAUUUAGCUAGGAAUUGUACCUAGGAAUACAGUUUCCUCGCUAUAGACAAUGCAUAUUGAGGAAAUUUUCCUAGAUAAGCAUAUUUGACUGUUUGACCACUGAAAAGCUGACAGUGACAAUCAACGUGGUGUUUAGCAAGGAAAUGGAGGUGGUUACCGAGGAAAUAUUACCUAGGUAAACAAAUGGUACAGUGGAAGAAAGUUAGGUGACGACCUUUGUUGUUGGUGAUUGGUAUCACAUGCAUCUAGAAUAGUCUAGAACAUUUCAUGCAUUUGAAUAGUUGAUGAGUCAAAGAUUGAACAUUAGAAGUCGUCUGGUUUAAGGCAACAGUUGUUUGUUCCAAAAUGGAAAUGAGAUAAUAUCUCUAUGGACUUUUUUGGAGUUUUAUCGAAGACUGUGAAGGGUUUUGAUUCGAUUUGGGUGAUUGUUGAUCGGUUGACAAAAUCGGCACAUUUUGUUCACAUAGGUAAACAAAUGACCGAGGAAAUAUUUCCUGGUAAACAUUUCGUAUUGUUCACCAUUUUAGGUUUGUCGUAACACAUUCAUCUAUUAGGGUUUGAUUGUUCCUUAACUUUGUAUUUGUUGAUUAGAUUCAAUAUGUUUCUUCUGAUAGUACUUACGUAAGCUUGAUUGAAUUUUUAUAAUCAACAUCUAUCAAUUCUUUCAAUUAUUCAUCACAAGCGUAUGAAAUCCUUUUAGCGUGAAUUUACAUGCAGACGCAACUUAUUUUUGUGAUGAUAGAGCUUAUCAACAUUUAUAAUGAUUGUCUUUCUUUUAGAAAAUUUGUAUACUAUGCUAAUAGGUUUCUUCUUAGUAUAUUUCAUUAGCAGGACCUUUAAAAUUAAAUUGUUGACAUUCAAUUUGAACAUGCUGAUUGUGUAAUUCUUGGAUUUAUACAUUGAAUUUGCACAAGGUCUUGUAAGAGUAAAGAAUAAAUAUGAAACUAGAGGCAGAUAUUUCAGAGCAGAUAUCCGGACAUGCACCCAAUCAAGCAGGCUCUCAGUUGCCUGAACUAACCCAACUGAAUGGGAAUGCCCUCCCAUCACAGAUGUCAUCUUUAGGCGCAUCAACGCUUAAUAUGGACCCUCAAGAAUUUCUUAGGGCACGCGCAGUUGUACGAGAUGGGAUGUAAGUUACUAUUUGGUUUAUUUUAGGGAAGUUGCUAUUUGUUUGUUUAACUAUUUAAUUAGUUUUAAUUUUGAUUUAGACUUUGAUUCAACAUAUUUUACAAUGGUAUUUCCUAGGUAAAUUUUGAUUUUGACUUUGAUUCAGCGUAUUUUACGGUGCACAUAAUGUUCUAGACUCUUCUAGAUGCAUGUGGUACCAAUGACCGAGGAAAUAUUUCUUAGGUAAACAAAUGGUACCGUGACAGUCAACAACUUUUUGUAGGAAAAGGUAACAUUGCAGCUGCAUGUUAACGUGGAACAGUGAAAAGGGUCUGGCAGGUUCAAUUGAUAGAGCAGGUGAACGUUGACUACACCGUUGUGUUAAUUAAUUGAGUUCUUGUGUGUGUGUAUAUAUAUAUCCAAUAAUCCUUUGUCUCCAAAUUUUGUCCACCAUAAUGAGUCCUACAUUUCCAUCAAUACAACACUUCUUAUGGAGCCAUUCAUAUGCUGGAAUGAUAACUGUUAUUAUUGGCAAAUUCAAUAAGAGGCAAAUGAUUACACUAGUUUUAUCCGUCUUCCAGAAAAGAAACACAAAGCAUAUCCUUUAGCGUCUGAAUGGACCUCUAUGUCUGGGGAUGAUGGGACAUACUCAAAUUAAGUCGGGUUCCUAAUGCCCUAUGAAAUGCUUUCCAAAAUUGGGAGGUAAAGAUGAGAUCUCUAUAUGAGAAAAUACUUGUAGGAACCCCCAUGCAAUUUAAUAAUAGCUGAAAUAAACAGUUUCACACACUACGAUACUUUAUAGGUGGAUUUAACCGGUAGAAAAUCAGCGGAUUUAGUUAAACGAUCCACAAUCACUCAAAUCAAGUCAUGACCCCUCUGAGUGUGAGGUAAACCACCUACAAAGUCCAUGGAUAUUUGUUCCUACAUAAUGUGGAUUUGAACAAUGGAUAUAAGUUAUCUUUGUAUUCCAUCUAUUUAUAAAAUAUGUUAUUCCUAAAAUAAAAGGGUAAAUUAUUUCAUAUUUAAGUUAGUGCAAAAUCUUUAAUAAGAAAAGGAAAGAUAUAUCUCAUGAAUUAAAUCAUGGUGAUAUUAAUUACUCAUUUAAUUUAAUUUAAUUACCAAAAAUGUCUAAUUGAUCGAACUAUGAAAAAUGGGAACAACCAAAACAUUGCAAUUUGCACCGGUUGUGCAUUAUCUUAAUUGCCUAAACAAAAAUUCCUUAUAAUGAUUUUAAUAAAACCCGGUCAUUGGUCUUUUCAACCAAAAGUUCCAAUUGGUUAUUAUUUGGAUCAAUUAAAGUAGCAAAACUACCAAUUUCAUCUCCAAAAUCUUCUGCAAAAGAACCUGAAAACAUUCUAAUACCUUGAAAUACAUAUUGAAAAAUAAGGAGCAUGAAUCAAGUGAGACGAGAUAACAUAUAUAUAACAAUAACAACAAAGCUCAAAAAAUACCAACAACAUUCAAAUUAAACUCGAGAUAAUACGUCGUGUACUGAACUUUGAUUGUGUUGAUAAACUUAUCUCUUUAAGUUAAAAUUAUGGGUUCAAUGAGACUGUUAUAUAAAAUUUCAUAAAACCUAAGUUAUUAACAUGGUUUAAAAACAAAAUGAUGAUUGAAGAGAUUAUGAAGAGACCGUAAGAGGUGGUGCACAUGGGGUGGAAUUCUACUUGAUAAGAAGUGACAUUCAUGAGAAAUGGAAAAGGGGAUAAGAAUUGGGAGGCAUAUUUUAGGAUUUUGUUGAUGUUGUGUAAUUAAUGAAUGAAUGAAUUAUUAUGGGCAUAAAUGAGACCUAAGUGAGAAUUAUGAUUAAGCAAGUUGGUUAUCAUAACUUAGCAGACAAUUAUGAUAAUAAAAAUAUAAUUAUUGGACGUAUUUGGAUGUUCUUUUUUGAAAACCACUAGGGUCAAAUCAGAUUUUAGAUUGAUUUUUCAACCGAACAAAACCAAACAAACCACGCACAUAUAUUUUAAUAUUUUUUUAGACAUGGUUAAUAUUUUAUUUAUUUACUGUUAGUAUGAUAUAUUUUUUAAUCAAUUAUUCAUUAUUUUUUUUAAUUUUUAAAUACUACUAUUUCUUUUCAUUUAAUACUUUUUUUUUUUACUAUUUUAUAUGUUUCAAACAUAAUCAAUUAUUGUCAUUUUGUAAUAUGAAUUUAUAAAGGAGAAAUAAAUUAGUCAUAUCAUUUUUUACUUUUAUCUUUAAUUUAUUCUUAUCUAAGUGUGUGUCUAAGUAAAUUUUGCUUAUGUUUCUGACCAACUUAGAUUUUUUUUUGAAGGAGCUUAGACUUUCUCUUAUUUUAUUAGUUUUGAUUGCAAAUAAUAAAAAAUAAGAAAAAUGUUAAUGAAUGUUCUCAAAAUAUUUGUUAAAAAGUUUAAAUUGAAAAGUUUAACUUAAAAAUUAUACAUUCACCACAUUAAUUUUUUUUUGGUUUUUUUGGUAAAACUAAAAGUAAAUUUUUCUAUUUUCAAAAGUAAUUAUUAAAUUUUUGCACUUGCUAGCGUGACAUAAUUUUUUUUUGGUCAAAUAGCCUAGUAGCUAGAGCUCACACAAUUAAAUGUGGAGAAGAGAACCCCGACCCUGCAUACAAUAUGCAAUAUCCUACGUAUUGAGCUAAUCUCAGGAGAUAGUGACAUAAUUUAUUUCCAAUAAGACAAUUUUUUAAUUUUUACACCAUAAACUGAAAAUAAUUUCUGAUAUCAUCAUAACAUGACAUAAAUAAACAAAAUGCAAACGUACCGUUGUAUCCAUCAUCAUAUACACACAACACACGUUCGAGCUUCACUCAUAUCAACGCAACCGUCGUUCAUCACCGCCUACCGGAGUUCGUUACCGGCCACCCUAACAGUAAGAAUCUCCGUCCAUUUUCAAUUUCAAUUUCAAUUUCAAUCUUUCUUAUUUGAUUAUAUAACAUAACACCCCUUACAUUUAUCCAUUUAAAUUUAAUCUUUAUUCAUUUUUUCUGCAGUUUAUGAUUUGAGCAGUUAGGGUUUUAAGAAAUUAGGGUUUAUGGCAUCUUCCGACGAUGAAGCCGAUACGCAACCGUUAUCAGUCUCUAAUUACCAUUUUGUAGAUGAUAAAGAUGCACCAGUAACUUUUUCAAUUUUACCGAUUCAAUGGAGUGAGUCUGAGAGUGUUGAAGGGAAAAAGGAGAAGGUGUUUUUACACGGGAAUGCGGAUAAUGGUUUGCAGAAGAUUUUUAUGCAAGUUGUAGCUUGGAGAUUUGAUCUUUCAAAUGUGAAGCCGGAGAUAUCGGUGUUGGCGAAGGAUAAGAGAUGGAUUAAGCUCCAGAAGCCGAGGAAGAGUUAUGAGGAGAUUGUUAGGAGUGUUUUGAUUACGGUUUAUUUUAUGCAUUAUGUAAGGAAGAAUCCGGAGGCGUUGGGGAAGUCUGUGUGGGAUAACUUGAGUAAGAAUAAGGAUUUUAGGUAAUUUGAGUAGUUUUGGCCAUGAAGCACUGACACAUACACCGGACACGACAUUGACACGUCGAUACUGGUAAUAAUUUGAGAAAAUGAAUUAUUUGAACGUAACCACAUGUGUCGGUAUCGUGUGUCAGACAUCGAACACACCUUUGAUCAGAGGUGUCAGUGUCGUGUCAGACAUCUUUCACGCCUUUGAUCAGAGGUGUCACUGUCGUGUCAGACAUCUCACACGCCUUUGAUCAGAGGUGUCACUGUCGUGUCAGACAUCUCACACGCCUUUGAUCAGAGGUGUCAGUGUCGUGUCAGACAUCUUACAUGCAUUUGAUCAGAGGUGUCGGUGCUACAGCGAGUUCUGGACUUCUUUCUGUCAUGAUUGCUGUGGAAGUAGUACAUGUUAUGACGUUUUUUAAUUUAUUUUUUUUGCAGCCAUUAUGAAGUUAAGCCUUCGCACAAUGAUUUGUUAAACCAUAUGGGUUUAAUGGGUGAAGCUGCCACAAGGGAUGCUGUCUUGGCAAAGUCCAAGGUACAAACCUUCUCAAAUGUGUUGUAAUCUUGGAAGUUAGCUUUUGAUUUUUCUCUUUCUCUCACUUGAAGCAUCCUUUUGGGAAUUAUUGAUUCAAAAUAUGGUUUGAAUAUUUUUGUAUCAUUAAAUUAAUUGCCUUGAGAUCGUAACUUAUGUCUUGCAUUAAUCAUAAUUUCCUUGUAUGAUAGCUGAUGUAAAACUAGGAGGAUUUAAUUAAACGUUAUUUAAUAUAUAUGAACCAAGUCAUCAACAAAGAGAAGCACGUUAAUUAAAUCCUCCUAGUUUUACAUCAGCUAUCAUACAAGGAAAUUAUGAUUAAAUUAAUUGUAUGAUAGUUUUACAUCCUCCUAGUUUAAUCUGUUGAUGUUCUUAGGCCAAUUUUUUACGUUUAGGUAAGCAGGAUUAAGCUUAAUCACACACCUUUUGAUGAGUUUUGGUAAAAGGUUUAGGAAGAGGUAAAGCAGGAUUAAAUAUUUUAGAAUAUCAGUCACCCCUCCACUGCUUUCUAGGUUUGACAACUUAGACUUUAGGAUGAUUAUGAGUUAUACAGUAAUUUUAUCUAUAUAAAUAUAAAUGUAACUUGUUAAAUAUUCUUUUGUACUUUGCAUGAUCUCUAUCCCCACUUUGUAGAAAAUUGUCAUAUCCAUUCUCAUAUCACAAGUAUAUUAAGAUACCCUCAGCCAUAACCGUCGAUGUAGCCUAUAUCAGACUGACUUGUAGGAAUUCCAUUUAUAUUUGACGGGGAUUACAUGAUUUCAUUUGAAUUAAUUGACGCCUGUGUAAGAUUUCAAGGUCAAGAAUAUGACAUUCAUGAAGUGGUUUUCUGUUAUGAACCUUCGCAUGGGAUCAAAUCACAUACCUAGACGCAGUAGAAAGAAUAUUUCUUUUGACCUAUGUUGAAAGCAAGAAGCAGGCCUAUCCUUGACAGAUCCCCUUCUAGAAUAACAUAGAUUUUCCUAAAUAUGAUGUUUUGCUUGUUUAUUCUAAUACCCCCGUCUGCCUUCUAAAGGCUACAAAUAAUGAACAGAGCCCAAUCAAACCAGUAAUGAUAAGGAUUCUGUUAUGCAUAGUCCUAAUCAGAAAAUCCUAAUUAACAAAAUUUUUAAAAAGUAAUCCUAAUGAAUAAUUCAAAAUUUAAGCAAUUGUAUUCUUCUUUCUUUGGAGAUACGUACAAUAUUGUUUUCAUCUCAUAUUCAGCUAGGCAAGAUGCGUGAUCUCAAAUACUGUUCUAUUAUACACUGUUAUGUAGUGGUAGUUUAUUCAUCUCUCUGUUUAUCUUACAAUUCUAUCCUUUUUUUUCCUUGUAUGUCGGUCUACCUUCUUCUCAUUUUUUUCACUUCAGUUGUAUUAGAUUUACUAUCUCUUUUGCUUUGUUAUAGGGAUCUAGUUAUCCAUUGACCUGCCCUUUUGCUGUCUAAUAAGAUUUAAGUGUGAUUUCUUUAAACUUAAAGUUUUCAUUUCUUUUUAUUUUAAGAAAAAACAUUUAAUUUCUUUUCUCUUCAUCUUCUUCACAUUUCUGUUUCACUUCAAUGACAAUGAAUUGAUUGAUUGAUUUUAACAGCUUUUGCUCAUGGUUAUGGAAGACAAAGAUAGGAUGAGCAUUAAGAAACUUUCUGACGAGGUUUGUCAGAUAUUUAGUUUUCCUUGAAGAAUAUUAUUCUGAUAUAUUUUCUUUCUUUGCUUCCUUUAAUUGAUGUCAUAUAUAUUUUGUGAUGUUUUUUUGAAAGCGUUAUUCAUUGAUUCCAGGAAGUUAAAGAGCUAGCCCGACCUGGAUUUAUAAUAGCUGAUGAUAUUGACAAUGAUGCAAUUGAUGAAACUGUUGCCGAGGAAGAGUCAGAUGAAGAGGAUGAGUUAUUUGAUUCCGUUUGUUCGUUUUGUGACAAUGGUGGUGAGCUUUUGUGGUACGAAAUUUUGUGGUGUGGAUGGUUAAUUUAAUUCAAUUUGAUUCUCUCCUGUACAUUUAUGCAACUGUGCAUGAUUUCAGGAGUAUUGGAGACAUUAUUGCUUGUCUUUUUUAUUUUAGAGUAGUAGUUGAUUCUUUCUUUUUCAAAAUACAUGUUAUAAAAUGAUUAAUGCAGUUGUGAGGGAAAGUGCAUGAGGUCAUUUCAUGCUAAUGAGGAGGAUGGUGAAGAAUCUUCUUGUGCCUCUCUUGGAUUUAGCCGAAAGGAAGUUGAGGUCAGCUAAUUUUAUUCUCUUUACAUUUCUUUUAUUUGUUUUCCAUUUUAUUUUUCAUUGUAUAAUUAUGUAAAAAAUUGAUUGCUUGUGUAUUUUUUUUGCAGGAGAUCCAAAAUUUCUAUUGUAAGAAUUGUGAACAUAAUAAACACCAGUGCUUUGCAUGUGGGGAACUAGGCUGUUCUGAUAAAUUUGCUGGUGCUGAGGUAUAAUAUAACUACAUGUAAAUAACGUGCUUCUCUUUGUUGAUGACUUGGUUUCAUAUAUAUUUUCUUCUCGCUGUAUGGAAUGCCACUUCUGGCACACUCAUGUGAACUGAUUUUGUAAAAUUGAUUUGAUAAAAAUUGAAGUUUGAAGUGAAGUGAUUAAUGUUUGGAUGUUUUUACUCCAAAAAUAGUUUGAUUUAAAAUCAGCAUAAAAUUUUCAAACCAAGAUAUUUAUUAUCACAUUUAGUCAAUCUGAGAUUUGUAGACAAAUAAACUCCGAUGCAAACUAACCAAACAUGCCAGAAUUACGUUUGUUAGGAAGAAAACCACUUUUCGCAUCACCUACCUUGCAUCCAAACAAGAACAACUUCACUUGACCUCCCAAACGGAGCCCAAAAGAUAUUUUGAAUCCAUUCUAAGAUAGUUGUCAUUAAUAGCUUUUUCUUAAAUAUCGUUUGGAAUUUCUCCUUCAGGUCUUCAAAUGUGCUUCUGCAACCUGUGGCUUCUUUUAUCAUCCACAAUGUGUUGCGAAGUUACUUCACCUGGUGAUUAGUGAUGCUCCAACAGAACUAGUAACAAAUAUAGCUAAGGGGGAACCUUUCACUUGUCCUGCUCAUUAUUGCCGCAUCUGUAAAGAAAUGGAAAACAAGAACGAGCAUGAGUUACACUUCGCUGUUUGCAGGCGUUGUCCUAAGUCAUAUCAUCGCAAAUGUUUGCCAAGGUUAUUUUACCCUUUUUUUCCUAUGUUUCCUGUCUUCAUAUGAUGAUGCUAUUUGUAAGUGUCUGGAGGCCUGAUUCUCAAUUUGCUUUUAUCAGAAAGGUUGCUUUUGAAGACAUAGUGGAAGAAGGCAUUGUAGCCAGGGCUUGGGAAGAUCUUUUGCCAAACAAUCGCAUUCUUAUUUAUUGCUUGUAAGUGUGAUAGUAUGCAAGUCUUUUGUUCUCCAAAUUUUGCCUUAACAUCUAGUAACAUCUUAUUCCAUUCCUUAAAACAGAAAACAUGAGAUAGAUGAUGAACUCGGAACUCCUAUAAGAGAUCAUAUAAAAUUCCCCUAUGUUAAACAGAAGGCAAAGCCUGCAACCAAAGAAGUUAUAAACAACAACAAUGCUAAGUUAGAUGAUUUACAUGUGAAAAGAACUAGUGCUACAUUGCCUAAACUUUCUGGUAAAAUGUCCUUCGGGAAAGUUGGUAUCGAGAAUCCUGGAAAGAUUUUGGGAUCAAACAUCCCUAGAAAGAAAGCAAAUGAAGCAUCAAGAAGGCUUUUGAAUGAAAAUAAGAGGCCAACUUUAAAGGAAGCAGAAAAGUCUGACCAUGAGGAAAACCAGCCCUCACUGGGUUUGCAACUUUAUUCUCACUACCAGAAGGGUUCGAAGCAAAUUAAUUCCGGCAAUCAUGUUAAUAAUGUAGCUGAUAACACUCUGUCUGUUAAGCGUCCUAAAAAGCUGAGCAGUGCACCACCCCAAUUAGAUGCAGAUUCAGAGAGGAGGUGAAUUUCUUAUCUGACUUGCUUAUUUUUGUGCUGUUACUGUUGUUGGUUCUUUUUCUUAGGUCUUUUUGAAGAGUAGCACUAUGAUGAAAUUAUAUUGGAUUCUUGUGUGAAACUCAAGCUGUCCUUAAGGUUAUGGUAUUAUUCUUAAGAUACUUUCUUCUCAUGUAGGUUGUUGGCUUUGGUUAAAGAAGCUUCUUCAUCAAUUACUCUGGAGUCUGUCAUAAAAGAACAUAAAUUUGUUUCUACUCACACUCACUCGCUAAAAAAUGUUGUGGAGAAGACUAUUACAAUGGGAAAGUUGGAAGGUUCAGUUGAGGUGCGUAUCUUCCUAUACACACACACACACACAUUACUCGAUAGUUUUAUAUUUUGGAAUUGUGGAAUUCAUUGAGUUUUUGUUAUUUCUUGUAUAUAUAGGCUGUUCGAACGGCUUUAAGGAUGCUGGAUGAAGGACAUAGCAUUCGGGAUGCAGAAGCUGUUUGUGGUCCCGAUGUUAUGAACCGGUUAUUUAAGUGGAAGGUACUUUACUGUUUUUGAAAAAUUAAUAUAGGGAUUUUGGUUAUAAGUGUCUAAUAAUCAGACCUCGUUAGCAUGUCUUACAAUAUGAUUUGCUUCCUUAGCUAGAGUUAUCAAUCCUAGAUAGAACUGCUAUAUAGCAGGAUCGCUUCUAUACUAAAUAUUAUACACAUCGGUUAGGCAAUUUAAACUAUAGAUAUAUAAAUGCCCAAAGGUCAAAAAGUAAGCAAAAGUAAAGGCAUGGACUUGCCUUUUAAGCUUAACAAACAUCAACAACUAAAAAAGUCAUGGAACAUAAAGGGAAAAAUGUAUGCUGGAAUCUUAGAAAUUUAACUCUAAGGGUAUGUUUGGAUUGAAGGUUUAGGAGGGGAAGGGAAGGAAGGGUAUACUUUUCUUUUCUAAAUUACGGACUAUAUAACAUGUUUUUCUAAAAUAAAUUAAGUGUGAUUGAAGAAUUAUAUGAUUGUUUAUCAUGUAAAUAUGUUAACUUUUUAAAAAACAUUUCCUAGUGUUCGUAAUUUAAAAAUAAAAAGUAAACCCUCCCCUCCUAAACCCUUCAUCCAAACACACCCUAAGUGUGAGCAGAGCAAUGAGUGUGCCAGCAGUGGGUCUGAGGGGAGUUUGUGCUGAAACAGAGGAGAGAGUAGUGGGUCGGUGGGCAAUGGGUUUUUAAUAAAUGGCUGAACAAAGGUUUCAAAUACUCUAUGAUAUCAUUCUGGUGGGAAAAGAGGGGAAACCAUCACAAUUAUCCUAAAAAAUGGUCAGAAAACACUGUAUCCCUAGCGGUGGGUUGCUGUGAAUGUCCAUGAAAAUAGGCCUGAUCCAAUAUGUGAGGCAGUAUAUUCACAUGUUUUAUUACAUAUCUAAUAUCCAUCUCCUAAUUUUUUUCCCUUCUUUCACUCAUACACCAUAAUGCAAGUUUAAACAUAAAGAAAUAAUUCAAUUCUGUUAUCAUAACUUUAUCGAGUGAAUUACUGCAGGACAAGUUGAAGGUAUAUCUUGCACCUGUUCUAUAUGGUAAUCGCUACACAUCAUUUGGUCGCCAUUUUACACAAGUGGAAAAGCUGGAAGGGGUAUUAAUUCUCACAUUAUAAUUUCAAUUAUUGUCAGAUUUCUGUAUUCUUGAUAUCUUUUCCUUAUUGUAACUGUUUACUUCUUUCUAUAUCAUUGGGUAUUGCUGUCUUGAGAAGAUAUAAAGACUAGCUUUAAUGCUCUCAUUUUUCAUUGAACAGUAUUAUUAAUCCAGGAUAUCCCUUGAAUAUGAACUGUAGAUUUCUAUGCGAUGCAUGUGUCAUGAAUAAGUAGAAAUAGUUAAGCUGAUGCUGUGGUAAAGGAAAAUACAUUGACAGUAAUUAUGAUGCUUUUGGCUUUUGUUAUCCUUUUGAGAUUUGUUGGAUUUAAAUUUUAGGUGUUAGCAUUACUAUCUUGUAAACUCAAUUUUAUUAAGCGCUGAAAUUUUAAUUGUUAGAGGUACUGAUAUGGUUUUGUGUUAGGGAAUCUGUUAAGAACCAAAAUUAUGAUUUUUGACCCAUAUGGGUGAACUUAUGCUUUAUAUGUAGAGGUUUAUUUAGCUUAGCAAUGACCUCUAUAAAUUUUUCUUAUGAUUGAAAAAGCUAGGGAAAUGAUAUUGUCUGACCUUGAAUAAGUUAAUAGGUUGAAGUCGGGUUAUUUGUGUUAUGCCUGAAGUUUUUAAAAUACUUUGUAUGAUAAGCUACAUAGUGUAAGGUUUUUCUAAGGUGUUUAAUUUUCUAUAAUCAUGGGUUCAUAGCAUGUGUAUCUUUCAAACUAUUUUAACAGUAGUAUUUUCAUAAGUAAUAGUUGCAUAGUAACACAGUUGACAAUGUAGCUUCUUGCAGUGUUAUUUAUUUGAAAGAUUCUUCGAUAUUGUCUAGGCUGUCUCAUUAUAUCCAUCAAUUGCCUGAUUAAAAAUUGGUUGACAUUUGCAGAUUGUGGAUAAACUCCAUUGGUAUGUUCAGAAUAAUGAUAUGGUAAAUACUGAUAUUGACCUGCAAUUUGCCUUUAAGUUUUUUCUAUGAUUAAGAAUUAUAAAUGUUCCCAGGUCCUUGUGUAUUUUCUUUCUUUGCCAUUUCUGCACAACAAUCAUUCAGUUUUUUCUUAAGAAAUUAUGAUAUACUAUUACUGUCUGGUGGAUAACCAUCCUGAACAUUGUUAAUUUACUUCUAAAUUUGAAUGUGGAUUACCUGACUGGGGAUAGCUACUCAUGGUCAGAUUGUGGACUUCUGCUGUGGUGCUAAUGAUUUUAGCAGACUUAUGAAGAAAAAGCUUGAAGAGACUGGGAAGAGUUGCUUAUACAAAAACUUCGAUUUACUUCCGACAAAGGUGAAUACACUUUCACAACUGUUUUUAAAUGUUGAAAUUGUUAUGUGUGUCAUGUAUUACUGCUUACAUCUUUGACAAGUUGGUAGAGGUUUUUGAUAGGCUUCCCGUGUUUCUGUUUUUCAGUAAUUUGUUCUCUGUAUUUUUGGUUGCUUCUCCUCUGUAUGAUUUGGUAACAUAUAACUAUGGUGCUUACUUGUCUGUUUAUAUCGCAUAUGCUUUUGGUUUGGUAAUGCCGAGUGCCUGAUAUUCCUUGCUUUUCAUUUUUUGAAGUAAUUAUUUUGCUCCUAUACAUUGAUAAUGAAUUUAGGGGUGUUAAAAAAAACCGAGUACCCUUAUCUAACGCAAUAACCAUACUGCUCCAUUUUAAAAGCCCGAGCCAUUUUUAAAUAAAAGUGAAGUCCCGUUUUAAGCCCAUAAACAAAAACAAGUACCGUUUUCUGAUUAGAUUUAGUAAUCGGUUUUACUUUUGAUGAUGACGCCAUAUUCCUUUUCUUGUUCAGCGAGGCAGCGCUUCAUAGACUGAAGUUGAAAUCACUUGGCUCUGUUUUUUCUCCCACUUCUCAAUCUCCACCACCUCAGAAGCAGAAUCCAACUCGGUGGGUUUUUCCCCCCGCAUAUUUUAAAGAGUGAAACUAGUACUACAGUCUCUGGUAGAGUAGGUUUGGGACCUAGUGUGCUCCUCUCAAGGCCCCAGGUUCAAAUCCUCCCCACACCAAUUUAUGAGGUAGUCCAUACAGAACUUUGCUCUGGCUUUAAAUGGGCUCCCCACUAAUGGACGGUGGAAUUGGUCCCCGGGAUUAGUCGAUCCUUGGAAUGGAUACCGAGUUUCCAAAAAUAGUACUACAGUCUACCAGCUUCUCAUGCUUCCUCUUUCGGUUACUCUGCACGAUCCCAAUCUGAAAUUAAAACUCAUCGUCAUCUAGUGAUGUAGAAACUAAGUGCAAUUUCUUUAAGCUAUGUAUUUCAUUGACCAGAAACAGAAACUUGUUGACAGCAUGGUUAAUUAACUUUAGGGGUGGAGCAAGCAAGCAACCGGUUUUGAAUCAAGUCCGAACUGGUUUGGUACCGGUUUACACUCCCAAACCGGUUUUUGUGAAAAAUGGUCUGGUUUACCAAACUAAUAAACUGAGUUGGUUCACAUGGUUCAGUUAACCAUGCAUCAAUGAAUAAUGAACAUCUUAUGAAGUCUCCAGAUGAAGAAUGACUUAUUGCAUGUAAAUUUGGUUAGUCAGUCAUUGCCUACGAAGAAUUUGAUGAACUAGAUUUGUCUAGCAACAUGACAUGUUGACAUGCUUUCUGGUUGUGGAUCUAAAGUGAACGUCCUUUUAGGCUUUCUUUGUCAGUUUGGAGGGGAGGGGAAGGUCAAGUUAGGGGGAGGAGAGUAGGGGGGGAAAAUAGAGAAAUUUUCCACAUCUUGAGAGGGUGUUUUUGUAGAGAAUGAUAAAUGAAUGUUUAUCAUUAAUAUAUUUCUUAUUUUGUGUAUUAUAACAAGGUAGAUUAGAUUUGAAGAAUUUAUCUAAACCCUUCGAAACCCACCAAAACCUUCUUUCAAUACAAUUUUUGAGUUCCCCAUUUUGAGGGGAUUUUGUGUUUCUUCAUAACUGCCAUUUCUCUUUCCUCCUUGCUUUUAUUUAAAGCCCUCCCCUCCCCCUCCAAACUCGCAAACAGAGCCUUAGGCUUUGUUUGAGAGUUUGAAGGGGAGGGGAGGGAGGGCUUUGGGGGUGAGAAAUCUAGGGGAAAAUGGAGAAAUCUUCUAAAAAAAUUGAAAGUGUUUUUAAAAAAAAUGAUAAAUUAAUGCUUAUGAUUAAUAUAUAUUUUAUUUUAACAAUAUUAUAACAAGAUAGAUUGAUUUUGAAGAAUUCAUGUGAACCCUCCAAAACCUUCCAAAACUCUCCUCCAAUACAAUUUUUGAUUUCUCCCAAAUGAUGAGAGUUUUGUAUUAUGAAGAAAAAUGAACCCCCAAAGCCUUCCCUUCACAAUGUUCGAAAUUGUUUUGAGGGUUUAAAUAAAUGAUGUUUGGUAAUGCUACCUCUUGUCUCUCAAUAUAUGACUCCCUUGAGUAAAUUACGGGUAUUAAGAAAGUUGGUUGUGAAUUAUGAUAUUAAAUUUGUUGACAAUUGGUAUUGCUUUUACAUGUUUAUUCUUCAAGAGAGAGAAUCAGUUAAUGUUUUCUUUAGAGUAUUUAUUACACAUUGUAGAAAAAGAUGCAACAUAAUUAGAGGUAUGUUAGUAAAGAAAUAAUUAAUGAAGUUGAAAAUUAUCAAGGGGUCUUGUAAAAAGGAACAAAGAAAAGAAGGUCUUAUAUUUAGGGACAGUGGUAGUAAUGAAUGGGAUGUAUGAAAUUUCUUACUAAUCUCCAUUGUGAAGUAUCAGGCUUAAGAAGAACGUUUUCAGGCUUGUUUAUGUUAUGAGCGUGAUGAUUUUUGUUUGGUGGUUUCAACCAAUUUUCACGAAUGGUGAAGAGUAUAGACUAUGUUAAAGACUUCAGCCUAUGGUUAUCUUGUUAUUUUUCUUUAUCUAUUUACCAGGAUGUUGUUUUGAUUUGUUUACAGAAUGAUUUUAAUUUUGAGAUGAGAGAUUGGCUGACUGUCCAGCGAAAGGAGUUGCCUUUAGGGUCACAGUUGGUAAGAAUUUGUCAAUUUCAUGGUUGAGAUGUGCAUGCAUAUCCCAGAUGGUCAAUUCACAUACUUUUGAUUUCAUUAUUUUUAUUGGCCGCUUCUUUAACAGAUCAUGGGCCUAAAUCCCCCCUUUGGACUUAAAGCAGCUCUGGCUAACAAGUUUAUAGACAAGGCUUUAGAGUUUGAGCCUAAGCUCCUGAUUCUUAUAGUACCACCAGAGACAGAGAGGUAUUGUCCUUUUUCUUGUCCCUUCAUUUUUUUUUUUAAGGAUGAGAGUUAACUGGUUUUUCCCUCCUCCCAAGCCUUCCAAGAUCAAUGGAGAAUUGUCACUUUUUUGUUUCAGAGUUAUUUUUUCUUCCUGCUUUUCAUGUUUGCUUCCUUAUUAUGUAGGCUGGAUAGAAAACGGUCGCGAUAUGUUCUUGUCUGGGAGGAUGAGAGGUUUUUAUCUGGCAAGGUAAAAUAAUACUAUAUUUUGAUUGUCACCCGCUCUUUGGUGUACUGACUGCUGUCUUUAUGUUUUCCUUGUUCCUGGUCUCUGUUUGUCCCCAGUCGUUUUAUCUACCCGGAUCAGUUGAUUCUAAUGACAAGCAAAUGGAGCAAUGGAAUGUAAAGCCACCCCCACUCUACCUUUGGAGCCAUCCAGACUGGGCUGAUAAGCAUAAGCUCAUAGCCCAGGAGCAUGGUCACCUGUUCAGAGAGCGAGAUGUAUCGAGAAUGGAAAGCUUCGAUAAGGAAAAAUCAUCUGCCAGUCAUAGUAUGGAUGAUAACUAUUUUGAUGAUACCAUGCUGGAUCGCAUGCUGGAUCAUGAUUUCUUGAAGUCAACUAGUGAUCAAGAUAGCUCAUUUAUGAUAGGACAGAUGGAAGGCUCAUCUCAUGGAAAUGUUUUUCGAGUGAGUCAAGAGAGACAGGAUUAUUUGACGAUUAAUGCUGAGAACACCUCAUGGAAAAGGAAACGUACAGAGGAAAAUGAUGGUAGAGGACCAGCUGUGACCUUACCAGCUAUAAGACAAGAUAUAAAUGGUAUCUCCACUCCACAGUCUGGAUCAGAUAUGGAGCUCUCAGAUAAUGAGGUUGGUAAUAAUGGUCAUAUGCCUCUGGAGCCCCAGUCUUCCAUUGUUGAUGAUAGCUAUAGGCAUCUGGAGCCCCUCUCUUCCUCACGGGUGGAGUUUGGACAAGCCUAUGAUGGGACCCACAAUUGGCCAAAUGUUGCCGAUCCCCUUCCUGAUUACGGGUUGGCAGAUUUACAGGAACACAAUAGUGGGCAUCUCGGAGACGGCACUAGUAGCCUUGGAUAUAGACCUCAUCUCAGGGGUGAUGAUAUUUACCCUCCGGGGCUUCCAAGACCCUAUCUCACGGAGGAUGUUAUUCAGCCUCUGGGGGUUCCAAGACCCUAUGUCAUGGGUGCUGAUUAUAUUCGCCCUCCCAGGGUGCCAAUGCCUGAUCCUAUGAGUAGUAGUUAUCUAUCUGGUCGUGGUCCUGCUUAUAGUCAAAUGGGAUCUACUUAUUCAGUAUGUGGUUCAGGAUCUGAAUUGCCUUACAUGAUGAAUACACCAGCUAUGCAGAUGAGUACACCAGCUAUGCAACGAUAUGCACCUCGUCUCGAUGAAUUAAACCAUGUUAAGACGAAUUCUUUGGGCCCUGAACAUCCUAUAGUUGAUAGAAGUACAACUUCUGAGCAUAGUGCCCAAUCUGGAUCUGAAAAUGUUCCACCAGGUUUUCCAGGUGGUUCUCCUCAUUUGUAUUCACGCCAGAAUUCAUCAAAUUGGUUCAGUGAUUAACAUGAAUCUGCACAUUUUUAGGUGUUCUCCUUUGUUCUCGAUAAAGAUUAUAAUCUGUACAUAAAUGAUGUUAGGAUGGAUGUGUUGUACGUGGGAUAUUUUUUUGUGCCCCUCUUACAUCCCUUGCAGAUUGUAGGUUUUACAUGACAUUCCUUUAUGUGGAGUAUUUUUUUGUUGCUGGGAUUGUUCUUGUCCCCCUUUUGUAAGUGACUCGGUGUAGGUGGAUAGUGACCCUAUAGCUUACAGAUCUGCUGUUUCAUUAUAGUUUUUAUUUUGUUGACAGACUAUUAAAAUUAUGGCACAAGUUAGCAUUUUCUUAAAAUUAAAAGCGUAUAAGAAUUGGUAAACUAUGGACUUUGCAAAGAAGGAAAACAUAUCUUCUUGCAUUAAAAUUUUACAGUCUUUUCAAAAUUUGUUAUAUUUCAAGUCAUAAGUAUAAAGUAUUGAUUAUUUUUUUAUACCAAAAAGAGCUUUGAUAAAUUUUUACACGGGAAAUCGUAUAGAACCUGAGACUUUUAUUAUGUUUUUCUCGGUUUAAAAAUCCGCACAGAACCUUGAUUCUGGCUAAGCUAAGUCUAUUUGUUACAGAUUUAAAAGAAGUGAUUUGAAUGUUUAAUAAUAGUUGAGAUAGUAAAAUAGCUAUUUUGUGUUUGUUUACUGUGAAGAACUCUAAAUUUUUACCGUGAGGAACACUAAAAAUAGGGAAAUACAAGGAUAUAAUUGGAAUAUUAUUAUUUUUUGAGACACAUGUUUUUAUUUACUAUUAUAAGAAAAUUCUACUUAAAAAUAAAUCUCUGCUUUUGAUGUAAUUAGAAUACAAAGUAAUCCUUUAAAAAAAAAAAAGAAUACAAAAGUAACAUAACUAAAGAAAAUUCCACUUAAAAAAAAUCUCUGCUUUUGAUGUAAUUAGAAUACAAAAGUAACAUAACUAAUCUUGUUUUGUAAAUAGAUAGGAGCAUAUAUUCUUCUAGCUGUCUUGGAGUUGGCCUAUUACAGCUGUAAUGAUGUCAUAAGACAGGAACCCAAAAAACAAGAUUCACAUUCAAUUCAAUAUAUUUAUUUUGACCAACAUUCAAUUCAAUAUUACCACCUACUAUUCCGUCCAUAUUUUGCCUUAAAAAAUGCAAAACCUUUUUAUUCAUUCUACUAUUAUUUGGAUAUUUCUUUUCCCAUUUCUCAUCACUCUAACACACUCAUAACAAGAACCUAAAACAAUAUUCUUUCAAGAAGACAAAGAUGGAUGGUGAAAUUGAGAGAUUCAUUAAGGUAUGGCUUAUAUCCACAACAUGUCUAUGUUAUUGUUAUUACAUAUCUUCUAAAAUCCCCAAAGGCUUUCUAAGGCUUCUCUCAAUCCUCCCAAUUCUCUACCUUUUCCUAAUCCUUCCUUUAAAUCUCUCUUCUUUCCACCUUGGUGGCCCCACAACCUUCUUCCUUGUUUGGCUCUCCACUUUCAAACUCAUCCUUUUUUCCUUCAAUCAACCUCCUCUUUUCCCUCUCCCAAACAAUAUCUUCCAUUUCAUUUCCAUUGCUUCCCUUCCAAUCAACCCUCAACAAUCAAAUUCAACAACCACUUUUUCAUCUAAAAAGUCAAUUUUACCCCUUACUUGUUUGAAAGUAGUUAUAUUGGUAGCAAUCAUAUGUAGCUAUGAGUAUAGAGAAUAUAUGCACCCUUAUUUUAUAUUGGUCCUUUAUUGCUGCCACAUGUACCUUGGUAUUGAACUUGUGUUAGCAAUUAGUGCAGCACCGGUUCGAACCAUGUUCGGUUUUGAAAUCGAACCACAAUUCAACGAACCUUAUUUGUCCACAUCGCUUCAAGACUUUUGGGGUCGUAGGUGGAACCUAAUGGUAACUGGUAUCUUACGUCCCACCGUAUACAAUCCCGUUCGCCACAUCAUUAGGUCUUAUGUGGGUUCCACAUAUGCCACUUCAGCUGCCACAUUGGCAACUUUUGUGGUGUCUGGUCUUAUGCACGAGGUAAUUUAUUAUUACCUUGCACGCGCGCCUCCCACGUGGGAAGUCACAUGGUUUUUUGUACUUCAUGGUGUGUGUACGUCUGUUGAGGUUGCGGUUAAGAAGAUUCUUCUUCGUCGUGGGUGGCGGUUGCACCGUGCUGUGUCGGGUCCGCUUACAAUUACAUUUUUGGCUGUUACCGGGAAUUGGUUGUUUUUUCCUCAGUUGCUGAGGAAUGGUGUUGUGAGCAAGGGUAUUGGGGAGUAUGCAAUUUUGGUGAAUUUUGUUAAGGAUAAGUUACCAUUACAUUUGAUUAGUUAAUUAUUGUUUUUGUAGUGAACAUUCGUUAUUAUAAACGUACAAUAACAUAGUUUUGAUGGAUAGAAAUUCACCUAGUUUAGUAUUGAUGGAAAUGAAGCAUUGGCUCCGACACAGACACCAACAUGUCGAUACCACACACACUAUGAGUUGAGGCUCUUGUUAGAUCAAUGGGUGGAAGGCUUAUAUUUUCAUAUCUCAUACAUAAAACAAAAUCAUCAAGCAAACAAUGACCAAGUACUGGCAAUUCUAGCAAGCAUAUACAUAUCCAGGUUGGAUAACAGAUUCCCAUAAACCAUUUUCGAACACAAGCAGUAAAUUGAUUUGGAUUUUCUUGUCAAGCUCUGAUACAAGAAAUUCAUUUGGAAUACGUUCGGACAAAUCACGUUCUAUCGCAUAAAAAUUCAAAAGACGGAACAUGAGCCAUCAGACCACUAUCCAACAGUUCAGAUUACUUGACGACGGCAACGUGAGGUUGAACACACCACAGAGAGAAGAUACAGAGGGUUUGGAGUUAUUGUGCUGGAAGAGGUGUAGAGAGAAAAAGGAGAGUUGAACUUGAGAGGCACAGUCAAAUGGCAAAACACUCGAACCAAACAAACCCUUAGUGCAUCAAAGAGAAGAUUAGGUGAGAUAUGAUUAUUUGUCAUAUCUUUCCCUAUCAUGAUCAUCAAACAAACCUUAAAUGGCCGAGGAAAAACACAUUUAUGUAGGUUUUUGUAAUUUUGAUUUAUUCAAAAACUACUAUGAUGCGUCUCACAUUUAAUUUCUAUGUAAACGUUACUCUAGUUUUAUGGCUUUUAGCCAAAUUUAUGUGUUAUUUGGUGUUAUUUUAUCAAUAAAAGACACAGAGGAGUUAUACAAGGCUCAACUUGUUUUUGUUUUUAAGUUUCCAUUCAUCAGCAUGAGCUUGGCGUCACACCAUCUACCCAAAAGCGAUUAAAAACAUAAGAUUUAAAUAUGUAUUUCAUCCUUGUAAUUAAGGGUCGUUUAAAUUGGUUCCUGUAUUCGCUAAUCCUUGCAAACUAUCCUCUCAAAGUAUAAUCAUUGAAAAAUUGGUCCCUGAGCCUAGUUAAUGACUGCCACGUCACUGAUUAGCUGACGUGGCAGUGGGACUCAACAAAACUUGGCAUAAAUGGACGAAAAUACCCUUGAACUUCACAGACAAAUGUGAAAAGACCAUUAUACCCAUGUGUUCAUCUUCUUAAAAUCUUCCCUGUUUUGAUGAGUUUUGUUUCAUCUUCAGGGUAAAUGUGUCAUUUUGCGUUUGGCUAAGAUCUUCAGGGGUAUUUUCGUCUGUUCAAGCCAAAAUGUGUUGAGUCAGACUGAUUAGCUGACGUGACAGUGAUUAAUUGGGCUGAGGAACGAAAUUUUAAAUGAUUAAAUUUUGCAGGGAUAAAAUGCAAGGAUUAACGAAUAUAAGGACUAAUUUUUAAACGACCCCUAAUUGCCUAAUUGCAAGGAUGAAAUACAUAAAUAUGAUAAAACUAUUGAUAAAUUUAGUGUAAAUAGAAACUCUAAAUAUCAUUGUAAUUAGAGCCAACGAAAAUAAAAUGAAACGUACAUAGAAUCUAAACCCUAAAUGUGAUGGUAAUUAGAGCCGACUCUACAUAAUAUCAUAUUACUAGUUGGCCAAUACGACAAUGCACUAAACAAUAAGAAUAAACACUAUCUAAUGUGUGUGAUCAAGUCGUGCUGAUCACUCCCCAACUUCAUUUUCGAUCUCAACUUCAUCUUCCAACUCGUUAACUACUCGAACAAACGAUGUGCAUGCAAGCCGCAAUCACAUGGAAAAUACAAAUAAGGCUAUUCAUCAUAAUCAAAAGUAUAAAAUGAGUAGAUUAUUACAAUUCAAAUGUACAAAUUUCAUCAACACAAGAUCAUAGCACACAUAUAAUUAUUACCAAAAUGUGAUAAUGUGAAUCCAAAUAACCAUAGAUUGAUAUGGAUAGAGAAACUACCUACAACUUCACAAACAUAAAUGUCUAGUCAGGGUAAUUCAUAUUCAAUGGGAGUGUCCCAAUGGUGUCUUGUCAUUACGUAAGACCUUCAUAUUAAAAUCUCCUCCGAUGUCUCCUUGAUAGGGCCGUCCCUCUGAAAUAGGAGGUUCGACUCUCUUUUUAAAAUAGGUCAUAGUAAAAUAAAACGUAAUUUUUUUGUGUAGUUAAAUUUCAUUAAAAAAAAUCAGAAUCAAAAGAACUUCUAAUUAAACAUGAAAGGAAUUAAAAAAAAUUAAGUGAAAGAGGUGAAAUUUAUCUAACGGCGUCGUUUGGAUUUGUCACUCCUCUGUUGUGGAAAAGGGUAAAACGAAUGGUUUAUGCGAAGAAAAAAAAUGAUUGUUGUGAUUCUUUCAAUGAAAUAGCUUUCCAAAUUAACUGAUUAAGUGAUUAUACAAAUUAGGGGUGGUUUGAUAGGAUCCGAUUUAUGUACAAAAAGGAGAACUAGAGUCUAGAAAAAACUCAAACGUGUACUAAAGAAAUAAAGUUAUAUAACAUAUAUAUUUUUUUAUUUAAGUGGGGGUGAAUAUUAGAUUUAAUUUUUCGUUAGAGACCCGUAGCAUUGGGAGGCCCGGCCUGGUUAAGCACCUUGCACACCCUCAAAGCCGGGCCUGCUCCUUGACUAUAAAAAAAAGUCAUCCCUAAUGCAAUGAGGAGCCGAGUCCGACCAAAUAAAAUCAUUACAUUGAAACACAUAAUUUACUAAUUUAUCGGCAUAACUUUUUCCAUCUUUAAAAAUGUGAGAAACUCACGGAACCUUUUCCAUCGUCAACAUAUUUCAUUUUUUUUAUCUCUGUCUCAAAGUGUAUACACUCAUAUGAGGUGUACACGAAACAUUUUUCAUUUUAGAGUUAGUACAUUUGGUAAGAAUGAGUCCAUUAAAAAGAAAUCAUAGAUAUUUACUAAGAGUAUGCAGAGAUAUAUUUAACAAACUCUUUUUAUACGUAAUUGUUGAAUGAUGAAUGAUAAAAAAACAGAAGAUAUAGAAGCUAAGUUGAUUGAUCAGAUGUAGGAAGAACACGAUACACCACAGUUUCUUGCAGCGCAAGUUAACUAGUCUCACUAGUUCAAAAUACAGUUAUAACUAACAACCCCCAACCUAUGAAGUAUGGAUACGGUAACAGGCACCGAACACGGAUACGCCGAUAAUACCACCAAUAAUUUGAAAAAAUUAUAUAAUUUAGUGUAUGAUACAACAUUUAUCAUCAUCAACACACUAACUAAUAUAACAUAGUCCAUGUCUAAAGCCUUAAAAAUAUCAAAAGAAAACUUAAAAUCUUAUCGCCCCAAUGUCAUUCUAGUACAACCAAAACCCUAAUAUCAUUCAUGACAAACAUCUUAAUAUAUAAUACGAAGGUUCACAAUGCAUGCCCUAUUUGAUCAAACCCUAAUUCCCUGUGCGGGAAAAAUGCUCAUUAAAUUUGAAUUUGAAAUUCAAAUCUAAAUUUGAAAUUCAAAUCUCUCUCCCAUAAAUUUUCACUAAGGCUGCAUUAAUCACACAUGUGGUUUACCAAAGAGUACUACGUACUGAUGCAACCAAUUCCUUAUUACCAAGAUAUGUUCUUCUCUCCAUAUGCAACUAUUUCUUGAAAGCUGAAUCACAUUGCACGAAGAUGGUGGUGGAUGGUGACUCAAAGGAUUGCAGAUGCGAGAUUCAUUGCCUCAAAGAAUUUCCAUGUAAGGAUAUGUUCUUAAACUUUUUUUAUUGCGAUUCAAGAACUUUGGCUAAAUUUGUUUAUGGUAUCUUCAUUAUAUGAUGUUGUUCAUGUAAUUUUUUCAAACUUAUUAUUUCAUGUUAUAUUUGGUUUGUUUGGAAGUGAAUUGAUUUUAGUAGUUUUCCAAUUGCUAAAUCUUAUGAUUGGUGAUCUUAUUUAUUUUGAGACUUGAAUUCCCGUGUUUCUUUCUUUUUAGUUCAUGUGCAGUUUAUAAGUUGUAGAUUGAUUAGUUUUUGUCAGCUGAGAUUUGGAUUGAGACUUCCAUCCCUGUGUCAACAUUCUUCUCCACCUUCGAUUAUGUAUUUUCCGGCGACAAGAUGAUGUCGUUAAGCAACAUUAAUCCAAUGCCUUCAGCGCAAUGGCGACAAUGUAUCCAUCCUCUAUUCAAAAUAAUUAUUUGCUAUGACUAAUUCACAUUGUUUUCCAAUUAUUCAAUCUUAUAGAUUGAAUAAUGGUUGGACAGAUUUCUUGAACGUUGAAGCGGAGGAAUCGAAGACAGUGGCGGAGGGUGAUUAUUCAAUCGAUACAAGCAAUUAGAGGGAUUUUUAAAAAUUCACCGGAAGGUGAUUGUCAUGAUCGUUGAUGAUCUAGAUAGGUAUUCUUCAUAAUAUUCAUUGGUUGGAUUCGAUGUAUCGGUCUCUCUAUCUCAUCUAAUUAUGUUUCUGAUUUUUUUUCUCCCUAUAUUUUCUUCACUUUUGCAGGUUUUCCUUUUUGGUAGGAUUGUGUUUAUUGAGGAACGCAUAGCUUGACUGUAAUACUUAUUGUAAUACUUACAAGUUGCAAUUGCUGUCAAAAAUGCUAAAAUGAGUCAAAUUUACUAAUUGCAGGCUUAUAAGGAGAUGCAAAAGCACUCAUCAUUGACUCCAUUAACAGAAAAGAAAAGGUACUUGAUUUCUACAAAGUAAUUAGUUAUACUUUAAAACUGCUAGCUUUCAGUGCCAAGUUUUCUCUAGCCGUUCCUGUCCUGAUAUCGUACUUAUAAAUUCUGUAAAAUCACAGGAACAAGACACAUACUGAUUCAUCAGCCUCGCGCAACCAUACAGCCGGUCCUAAAUGGCGCUUUCUCUAUGGAGAGUAAGUUGUUUUUAUUUUGAUCACAAGAAUAAGGAAAUUUUUAGAGUGUUAGACAGAAUCCAAUAUUGCGUUGUCUAAUUCCUUUUUAAUUCAAACCAUUGUAAACAAUUGAAACUUAUUAGAUUAUGGUUGGAAUGUGGCCACCAAGUGCACAAAUAUAUGUGUUUCAGUAGUAUCAUAUUAACAGCGUUUGUUGCACUCAAACUGCAAUUUCGAAGCUCAAAACGUUGUUUUCUGAUGUUUGAAAACAUAUUGGCUGAAACGUGGUUUCGGUAUAAACGGUUCUGUUCUAUUUAAAACAGUUCAGAGUGUUUGGAACCACGGUGCGAAUGCUCUCACCUCACGGUCGGAACAAAGCUACAAAUUGAUCGAUCAUGAGGAGUGGAAACAAAGUUGCUGUGCAUAUCAAUGAAUUAAAAGUGCAAAAUUAAUCAUCAUCAAUGUCAAAAGACUUUAUUUCAAGUCAUUGCUAUAAUUUUUUCUACCUGAAAAGAAUUACCUCUAAAAAAAUAUGGCAUAUAUGAACCCGGUCUAAAAAUAGUUAGUCACAUCCACACAUUUUUUUCCGUAAGCCUGACCCACAGUUGUAGCAGAAGUCACAUCCACACCUAGAAAGAAUAAUUAUAUAGUUAGACAUAAAUUUAAUUAAUGUAAAUAUGUGAACAAAAGAUGAUAAAAUGCAUAAUUAACCUGCACAUCAUGUGAUUACAUCCAUUAAUUCUCUCGACAUAGAAAGAGCACCUUGGACAUUUUUUCCAACUUUCUCUUUUUGCCAACUCCAAAAAUUUCAUAUCCAAUUCAAUAUUUUGAAUUAAUUUCCGGCCAUAAGACAUUAACUUAAAGGGAAUAGAAGACUUAUGAAUUAAAGACUCCCAUCGAAAAGUAACUUGUUUAGGUAAAAUGUGUUGCAAUUGUUUUGGCUUCAAUUUCACAGAACAAUUUGGACUUGGACAAGUAAUAACCUUAACCUUAACCAAAUUAUUGUUUAUUUGAAAGGUUACAUAUUUGCAUAUGCAGUCAAGGCAAUAGAAGUGGUUGCACUUUGUUGUUUGGAACAUAUCAGAAUUUGUCUUCAAAUCAAAACAUAUAUCGCAUGUAUGUUUCAUGGGUAGACAGUUUUGUUUUUGCUUGCAGCACCGUAAUAAGAAAUUUGCCAAUAAAGAAGGAGCAUGAUUGGAAGUUUCUGAGGAUUUCGAUUUUGGAGAAGAAGACAUCACAUUCACAGCCAUGAGAAGAACUACGGAUUUGACCUAAUUUUGAGUGGUGCGUUUCUUUAAUGCUUUUUUAUUUAUAGCUCUUAAUAUUUUCCUCCUCCACAUUUUUUUUUUCAAAAUUUGUUUUUUGAUGGAAUAUCUCAAAGUUUGUUAUAGGCAUAAAAAGUGUAUAUUUGUUAUAGAUUAUUAGCGAAAAGACGGGCAUGUUUUUUCCGCUUUUUUUAUUUUAUUGCGUUAACGUUUAUGAAUGAUGUUUUUUAUAAUUUUGAGUAAAAGUAAAAAUAAAUGUUUUUAGUUUUUAAAUUAUAACAAAUUAAACUAACAAUGAUUAUCAAAUAAAAAGUGUUGAACUCAUGACCUUUAACAUUAUGCAACAUCAAAUUACCACUACCGUAUCAACGAUUCUGUCAACGUCAUCGAGUCAAGUUUCAUGAGGAGCAAUGUCAUCCCUCCCGAUCGUAUGGUAAAAUGGAAUCAAAAUAACAAUCAUUGUCACAUCCUUAAUGUGGACGGGAGUUGUCUCGGAACUCCAAUCCGUGCUGGGUUCGGAGGUAUCAUUCGAAACAAUGUUGGUGCCUACCUCUCUGGCUUCUCUGGCUUCAUUCCGGAAUCGACAGACAUUCUGUUAGCUGAACUCACUGCCCUUCAUCAAGGCUUACUCAUGGCUGCUGCAAUGGGAAUAGAGGAGUUGGCUUGCUACUCGGACUCGCUUCUCUCCAUCAAUCUUAUUACAGGAAGAGUUUCAAACUAUCAUGUGUACGCUGUCUUAAUACAAGACAUAAAAGAUCUCUUAUCUGUGCAUAAUUUUUCCGUUCAUCAUUGUCUCCGUGAAGGAAACCAAUGCGCGGAUUACUUGGCCAAGUUGGGAGCUUCAUCAAAUGAAGUGUGCUUAUUUCAUGCCACCCCCCCUCAUGAGCUUCUGGAUUUAAUUCGCUUUGAUGCUAUAGGAACUCUAUUUCCUAGAGCAUAGUUUUCUGUUUCUGUCUCCUUUCUUCCUGUUUUUCUUUGUUUUUAGCUAUGUUACCAAAAAAAAAAAAACUAACAAUGAUUGUUGAUUUCAAUGAAACCAACAAUAUAACAAAAAAAAAAAAUCUUCCUUAAAAAAAAAACAAAAAAAAAAAAUCUAAAUUCUUAUUUUUUAAUGACACCAACAAAAAUCUUUAUUAUAGAAUAAGUUGUUUUUUUUUGUUUUUUUGACAAAAGCAAAAUUAACUCAUAUCAUUAAUAAGGAAAGGUUCAAUACAUAAAGGAGAAAACUCAAAAAUAUGGUGACUAGCAAAUGAACCGGCCGCUCUAGCUAAAGAGUGAGCAACCAUGUCCGCUUGUCGCUGAAUAAACUUCACCUUAUAGAAAAAGUUGUUGUUUAAAUGUUUAAUUUGAAUAAUGAAAAAGUAAGUAUAGAUAUAAUCAUCUGAUUUGUUACACUUUUUAAAUGAUAGACAAAAAAAACUGGAUAUAUGUGUUUGUUACACUUUUAUUUUAAUAUUUAAAUUUAUUCUUAUGUAUUUGUUACAUGUGUUAUUUGUAUUGAAAAUUGAGGGCAUUUUUGGAAAUAGAAAAAGCCAGCUCAAAAGAGCUGAAAUGAAUUGUUUUCCUUAUAUAUAGUACUAGCCGAAAGACGGGCACGACUCUUUCUACUACUCUAACGCAUGUGAUUAUUUUAUUAUGUUUGUUUGUAAAAUCUUGAUCUCUGUAAUUGAAACGCGCCGCCUCCUCCUCUUGCUGGUCACGAUGUAGACGACGGUGGUGGUGGUGUGACGAUGUAGACAACGGACGCGUGAAAACGUGUUAUUUCAACGCGCUCCAAUUUCUUUGUCCACAAAAAACAAGAUUAUAUUAAAUAAACUAGCGAAAAGACAGGCACUCACGCACCUUUCCGCUCUUUUUAUUGCACUAACGUUUGAAAAUUAUGAGCGGUGUUUUUUUGAUGAAAUUUUGAUUUUAAUUAAAACUAAAAAUAUAAAUGUUUGUUGCUUUCAAGGUAUAACAAAUCAUACUAACCAUGAUCUAUUUCAAGACAUCAAACAAUAUAACAAAAAAAAUAAAUCUAAAUUUUUUUUAGUGACACUAACAACAAUCUUUAUUAUGGAAAAUUUGUCCAAGGGUAUAAUUGGAAUAAUGGAAAAAGAAGUAUAAAUAUACUUAUCGAGUUUGUUAAACUUUUUAAAUGAUAAAGGAAAAAAAACUUACAUAUAUAUAAUAUCAUGUUUGUUACAUUUUUUUAAAAUAUUUAAAUUUAUUCUUAUCUAUUUGUUAUUAUAUAUGUGUUAUUUGUAUUGAAAUUUGAGGGUAAUUUUGGAAAUAAAAAUUCAUUCCAAAAGUAUUGAAAGAGGUAGUUUUCUUUAUAUAUAGUAUAGAUAGAUAUAGAUAUAGAUUUAUUUAUAUUUAUUUAUAAGCAUGCCAAGAUUGUUGAGAGUCAUUACUGUCAUGUUCUAAUUGCACAAUUUUGAUCCCCAUAAUUUUGACCAUAUCCAUGAUUUUUACGGUUCAAUUUAAUGACAUGACAAUAUAUUAUGUCAAAUGGUAUGAAAACAAAAGCCUAAUUUGUGUGAGUAUGACAUGACAAUAUAUUAUGUCAAAUGGUAUGAAAAUAAAAGCCUAAUUUGUGAGAGUCUUUAAAAGUAGUGUGUUAAAUUGAGUCAUGACCAAACAUACAAAUAAAAAAAGAAGAUCGAUUGAAUAAUACAAGAAAUUGAGAGUGAAUGAUUAAUUAUCACGUCAUUAAAUUAGACUGUAAAAAUAAUAUAUUGAUUAAUUUGUUUAAAAUAGGAACCAAAAUUGAGUCUUUAGAAAUAGAGAUGAAAAUUGCAGUUUUCUUAAAAUCUGAGUACCACUAUUGCAUUUAAGUAUUUUUCUUUCUUUUAUUGAAUCACUUGGAACCUAAUAAAUUCCGAUAGAAAAUUUUAUCUCCCAAAAGUCAUUGCAGUCCAAAAAAGAAUAAUAAUCUCCUUAAUGUGUCAUUCAUGACACAAACAUAUAAAAAAUAGGGGUCAUGCUAUAACUUAUGCUUUUAUAGCACAUGUUAAGGAUAUCAUAAAUAGCAAAUUAUUUACAAAACAUUAAUUUUCAAUCUCUAGAACAAUAAAUUGACACAAUUUAUUAAACAAAAUUUCUAUUUUAAAUUCCUUAACAUGUACUUUAUGAGUACAAGUUAGCAUUUCAAUUCAAAUUAGUUGUCAUGACUACUUUGAAACAGAGUUGCAGUAUAAAUGAAUUGAAACAAAAAAUUGAUCAUGAUAAAGUUUACAACAUUCUAUUUCUAGUCAUUGCUAUUUUUUUUUGACAAAAUUUCUAGUUAUUGCUAUUGAAAAAUGAGUACCUCUGAAAUAUUGGAAACAAAUUAAAAAUAACUACUAUAGCACGUACGUGCAUGCCCAUUUGCAUGUUUCCUCCCACAAUUAUAGCAGAAUCUGCAUCCACACCUAAAAAGAGAAAUUAUAAUUAUUCUAAUGAAUUUAAAAAUUGCAUGUUAAAAUAUGUGAUAAUAAUAAUUAAGAAUUAACAUCUUAAGUGUAACCCGAUUGAUAACUUCUAAGGACAUUAUCUCCAUUAUUUUUUCUGAAGGUUUUAAAAUAUGCGAUAAUAAUAAUUAAGAAUUAACAUGUGUAGCCCAAUUGAUAACUUCUAAGGACAUUAUCUCUACUAUUUUUUUUUUGAAGGUUUUAAAAUAUGUGAUAAUAAUAAUUAAGAAUUAACAUGUGUAGCCCAAUUGAUAACUUCUAAGGACAUUAUCUAAUAGAGGUUGGAUUUCAAACUUUAGAUUCUCCAUUAUUUUUUUUUGAUGUGGUCCCUUAAUUUAUUGGUUGGUUACAUUUUAGUCCCAUAAGUUAUUAACGUUACAAUUUGGUCCCUCGCAUGUGCCUACUUAACGUUUUGGCAAAAGACUAAGGAUGAUUAUUUGGCUUACAAAUACUAACUUAAGGAGACCAAAUUGUAACGUUAAUAACUUAGAGGACCAAAAUGUAAACAACAAAUAACUUAAGGGUCAUUAAGUAAGCCAAAAAUAUAAUAAUUAAGGAUUAAAUACAAUAUACAUAACAAACGAGUAAACCAUUAAUUUGUCACGAGUUUCUCAAUUAGACUCAGAUCUCAGAGUCUCGAUUAACUGGCUGACACAUACAUAGAUCAAUUUAGUAGUUUACUCCGUAACAAACCUGCAUAACAUGUUGUCACAUCCUUCACUUCUCUCGAUAUAGAAAGAGCACUUAGGACAUCUUCUCCACCUUUCUUUUUUUGCCAACUUCACUAAACUCUUGUCCAAUUUAAAAUUUUGAAAUAAUUUCCUGGCGUAAGAUAUGAACUUCAAGGAGAUAGAAGACUCACAAAUUAAAGACCUCCAUCGAAAAGUAACUUGUUUAGGUAAAAUAUGUUGCAAUUGUUUUGGCUUCAAUUCAACAAAACAAUUUGGACUUGGACAAGUAAUAACCUUAACCUUAACCAAAUAAUUGCUUAUUUGAAAGGUUACAUAUUUGCGUAUGCAGUCAAGGCAAUAGAAGUGGUUGCACUUUGUUGUUUGGAACAUAUCAGAAUUUGUUUUCAAAUCAAAACAUAUACCGCAUGUAUGUUUCAUGGGUAGACAAUUUUGUUUUUGCUUGCAGCACCGUAAUAAGAAAUUUGCCAAUAAAGAAGGAACAUGAUUGGAAGUUUCUGAGGAUUUCAAUUUUGGAGAAGAAGACAUCACAUUCACAGCCAUGAGAAGAACUACGGAUUUGACCUAAUUUUUGAGUGGUGCGUUUCUUUAAUGCUUUUGUAUAGCUCUUGAUAUUUUCCUCAUUUCCACAAUUUUUGCAAAAUUUGUUUUUUGAUGAAAUUUCUCAAAACUUGUUAUAUUGUUGCUAUUAUUAAAAUGAUAUUUUUUUUUGUUAUAUUUGUUAUUUUAUUGUUGUCAUCGGAAAAAGAUAACCAUAAUUUGUUAUAUUUGAAAGUCAAAAAUAUCUAUUUUAAGGUCAAAUCCAUCUAAAGUCCUUUUUAAGUUUUUCAUUUUUUCCAAAAUGGUCCCUUAAAUUUUACAAAGGCUCGACUUGAUUUUGUUUUUAAUUUCCAAUUCACCAUCACGAGCUUUCCAAAUUGUGAACGUGGCGUGACAACCUCCCAAAAGCUUCUAAAAACAUAAAAAUAAUAACGUCAUAUAAAUUUAGUGUAAAUAGAAACUUUGAAGAUAAAGAAACCAUAAUAAAAUCCUCACGAAAAAUGGGGUUUGCCCUCUUCUUGUGCCAAUACGGUUUUGCACUAAAGAAUAAAAAAAAAAAACUAUAUAUUAAUUGUCAGCAAAUGACGGAGACUAACAGCAAUAUUGUGGAGAGAGCAAAAAGCAACUUCAAUGUUUCCUUUUCGGCUUCCACAAACAAGUUGGGCAUAGACACGUGUAUUCGUGACGAAGAAGGGUGUUUUGUACUUUGCCAAAACUAUGUGGUCCACCGAUUAUGCUCUGUUGGAGAAACAUUGAGUUUGUAUCGUGUUAUUCGGUGGAUACAAUGAUUUAUGGCUACCAAAUGUUGAUUUUGAGGUUGACUCGAAACAAGUAGUUGAUUAUUUUAAUCGGAGCAAUUGUGAGAUCACCGACUUUUGAGCUAUUAUGGACAUCACCGAAUUUUGAGCUAUUGUUCUCUUUAUUUAACAAACUUUCAUGUUGAGUUCAUUAAGAGACAAGUCAAUAAGGUUAACCACAAAUCAGUAUAGGCAGACAAAUCCUUACCUAGCUUCUAUAUCUUGGAUGAUGUACCGACGUGUAUAAAUAAUUUAAUUGCUAAUGAAACGUGAUAAUGUCAUGGUGAUCACCAAUUUAAUUGAUAUAACUCGGUCUAUAUCUAAACACUUCACGAAAAUCAACACAAUGCACUAUCCAAAGAAUUCACCUUGAUAUCUAAACAUUUCAAUAAAAAGGAAACAAUAAUUCCUAUCCAAAGAAUUCUGUUAACUUCUUGCGAAACCCUAAUUGACAUGAGGAGUUGAAACAACGUUGCUUCACUUGAUCAAAAAAAAAGAGUUACCUCUCCAAAAUUAAUUCUACUGGGUCUAACAUUGAACCUUGCACGCAUGCACUCACAAUAUUUCAAUGUGACCCCACAUUUGUAGCAGAAGUCACUUCCACACCUAGAAAGAAAAAUUAUAGUUAGACAUAAAUUUAAUUAAUGCUAAAAUAUGUGAACAAGAGAUGAUAAAAUGCAUAAUUAAUUAACCUGCACAUCAUGUGAUUACAUCCAUUAAUUCUCUCGACAUAGAUAGAGCAACUUGGACAUCUUUUCCACCUUUCUCUUUUUGCCAACUCCAAAAAUUUCUUAUCCAAUUUAAAAUUUUGAAAUAAUUUCCGGGCAUAAGACAUGAAUUUGAAGGUAAUAGAAGACUCAUAAAUUAAAGACUCCCAUCGAAAAGUAACUUGUUUAGGUAAAUUGUGUUGCAAUUCAUUUGGCUUCAAUUGCACAAAACAAUUUGGACUUGGACAAGUAAUAACCUUAACCAAAUUAUUGUUUAUUUGAAAGGUUACAUAUUUGCAUAUGCAGUCAAGGCAAUAGAGGUGUUUGCACUUUGUCGUUUGGAACAUAUCAGAAUAUGUUUUCAAUUCAAAACAUAUGCCACAAGAUUGUUUAUCUGAGGGUUCAAUGCUUGCUUCAUGGAAAUUGGCAGAAGAGGAAAGUUGUUUUGACAAAUAUUUUUUCCCUGGAAGCACCAAGAACGAUAGCUUUGUGAUAACUAAUUUUCCUAUCAAAAUAGGAACAAGAGUAAAAAGAAUGGAGCUCCCUAAGGAUUUCGAUUUUAGAGAAAAAAACAUCACGGCUAUGAGCACUACAGGUUUGACCUAAUUUUGUAUGGGGAAAAAACUUGGUUCAUUUUUUUAGAUGUUUUUGGUAUGAUUGUUCUUUAAAUUCACAAUUUUCUCAAUUUUUUAUUUUUUUUACAAGAUUGUCUCAAAGUUUGUUAUUACCACAAAAAAUGAAUAUUUAGUUAAGAACAUACAUAAAAAAAUGCAACUAAUUUUUGUCCUUGUAGUGUGUUGUGAAUUCCAGGGCUGGCCUAAGGGCCAAGCCAUCCAAGCAAGGGCUUUAGGCCUCAAGAUUUUGGGUUAAUAAAAAGGCCUCAAAAUAAGUCUAUUUAACUAUAAAUAUAUAAUAUGACAUGCUAACAAUCAAUAUUUAUCUAGCUAGUUGGUCAAUUUUAAGGUCUUAAAUCAUAUUGGUCUUAAGUUCAAAUAAUCUUGGAUUCAACAAAACUCAAUUGAUUAUACUUUUAAUAAACAUUUUGUUAUUUUUUUUUUAAUUCCAAAAGCUCUCCUUAUAAAAUUUGUUUUAAUUCCGCAGAAAAAUCGAGAGAUUCUAAUAGUGGAAAGGUCAUACAUCUCAACUUGGUUGAUACCUCUAAUCAACCUCAAUCCAAUACCGCCUACUCCAUAAUAAUAUACAUAAUAAAAAAAGAGGAUAAAUAUACAUGGGGGCAAACCAAAACCCUCAAAAAGCACAAAGUCAAAACAGCAAAAAUAAAGAACCUAAUGAAGUAUGAAGAUUGGCGAAACAAUAUAUGAGGUCUCUACAAAAAAAAACUCGGUAAUAAAAGGAGGCAAAUCAUCUCACCAUAAGAUACCAAAUAUAGCCUGUUUGUGGUUAUCAAACUUAUCCGCACAUCCAUUACCUUCUCGGUAACUUUUUGAAGCAAUUCAAGAAUCAGAAUAUCUGAUACCCCUAAUAAUCCAAGUAUUCAUGGACGAAUUGGAGAUGGUGUACCCUUGGAGCGAGUUUGGUAUGUAGCUUGACUGAGUUAUGUAUUAUUUUUUUGGCUCUUCGAGAUGUACGUUGUGAAAGGAAUACCAAAGUCAACCUUUUGAUCAUUUGUUUCCAAAUCAUUGUGCGCAAUUGAAGCAAUAGUUUCCAUGUGCUCCAAAGUUGCCAGGUUCGGCCUUGUAAAGCGAGAUUCAACAUUAACAUUAUCAGAUUGUACAGGCUCAAGAAUAGAGAUUGCAUUGUCGUUAGUAUUUUCCAAAAUCAGCUCAUCCAUUACAUCUACCAAAGGCAUAUGAAAUGAAGUGUUAGCAAUAUUGUUGUGAUCUACUUGCUUUUGGUCAUCCACAUUGAUGAAUGGAUGCUCAACGUGAUCAAUUGGUUUCGACGUGAUGGUUGUUUCCACAUCGACCACUUUCUUUGGUACAUAUUUGAUGUGUUAUUUGCUUUGGUGUCAACUGUUCCAUACCUAAAGGUUUCUUACCAAGAUCAAUUUUCAAUGUUUCUUUUUGGGGUUGGAGCCAUUUGCAAGUUGAAACGUAAUGAUCAAUGAUUUGGAAACCAAUGCAAUGUGGAUUUGCUUCCACGUACUUAAGAUUCGGAAAAAGACUAAGUUGAAACGUUAUUUGACGUGUUAUUUGUUUCCACGUACUUAGGAUUCAGAAAGAGGUUCUACCAUUUGAUGUUUUGUACAGAGUCUUACCCUAUUUUUACACAAGAGACUGUUUAUAGUAUUUGAACAUGUGACCAUUCCCUCAUGUGACAACAACUUUACCAAUUUAUAUAGACAUAUAUUUCCGAAAUUCAAUUUCAACAAAAACACAUAACAAACUCGAGAACAAAGACUUCAUAAAUAACAUAAUUUUUAAUAUAAAUUUAACAUAAGUAACAACAAUUCGUGUUUAAUUUGCAAAAGGUCUACUCAACCUAGUACAACUUUAUUUUCUCAUCACUAAAGUCCUUAAUUUAGUGAUUUUUAGGUUCCACAAUUAUUCUUCAUCAGAUUUGCAUGGAAAAUCCUCCAAUAAGUCUUUGGAGGCAUCAUGCUAACACAACUUAUCCACGUUAUUCACUGGCUGCAAUAAUUGAUGGAAAAUGUAAUAUAUUAUUAUCGAAAAAUUAAAAAUGUAAUAUGUAAAUGGCAGAGUGAGAGUUCCAAUCCUCACCAAUAUCAUUGAGUAAUUUUCGGCUUCCGGUAACAGUGUUAGGAUCAUUCUUUUUUAUCCAAGGGUAUUUUGCAUGGAAAGUCCUCCAAUCAACUUGUAAUAAAUAGAGAAAUUUAUCGGAGAUGUAAAAACAUAAUAGAAAGUUGAAGAUAUGAAAAAGACUAUUUAUGUAGAAAUAUUAAGAUUUCAAGCAAAUUUAAAGGUCGAGACUCAAGAGUGUACAUAUAUAACUUACUCUCUCCGUUUCAAAAUACAUGUCCAAUUUUUGCAAUGUGCACUAUUCACUUGAUUUAUUUUGACCAUACUUUUUAACUAAUGUAUAAAUACAAAUAUUAGCAUGUAAGAUGUUGUUUGAUUUGUCUCGACAAAUAUUUUCAAAAUAUUAAAUUUUUAUAAUUUUUUACUUUAGAUAAUUAAAGAUAUUAAUGGUCAAAAUUAUGCAUUAACAUAUGUGAAGUGGUUGACUUAGACAUGUAUUUUGAAACGGAUGAGUAUAUUACAAGCAAACUCCUAGAGGUCAAGGAUACAUAACAAUAAAAGAGAUUCAAAAUAAAGAAUUUUUUGCCAAAAGUAAAAUAGAGCUUCAUUAAAUAAAUAAAUAAAUAACAGAGUAUUUUGUCUAUGGAAUGGAUUACUAAGUAGUAAUAACCUGAUGGGAUAAAAUUCUUCUUUUGAGCUCCAGUUGUAAGGUCAAUGGGUCCAACUAGCAAACCAAACAUGAAAUAGUCAAUAUCAUUUCACAUUAAACAUAAAAUAAAAUAAAUUUUUAUAAUCAAGCUAAUAAGUAAUAACCUGAUGGGAUAAAAUUCUCCUUUUCAGUUCCAGUUGAAAUUUCAAUGGAUUCAUCUAGCAAGCCAAACACAAAGUUGUCAAUAUCAUUUCGCAUUAAAGUGAAAAUACAAUAAAUUUGUACAAUCAAGCUAAUAAACAAUAACCUGAUGGGAUGACAUUCUUCUUUUCAGUUCUAGAUGAAAUUUCAAUGGGUCCAUCUAGCAAGCCAAACAUGAAGUUGUCAAUACCAUUUCACAUUAAAGAUAAAAUAAACUAAAUUGUACCAUUAAGCUAAUAAGUAAUAACCUGAUGGGAUAAAAUUGUCCUUUUCAGUUCUUGUUGAAAUUUCAAUGGAUCCAUCUAAUAAACCAAACACGAAGUGGUCAAUAUCAUUUCUCAUUAAAAAUAAAAGAAAAUAAAGUAUUGCUAUCAAGCUAAUAAGUAAUAAUAUGAUGGCAUAAAACUCUUCUUUUUAGUUCCACUUGAAAUUUCAAUGGGUCCAUCUAGUAAGCUAAACAUGCAGUUUUCAUUAUCAUUUUAGAUUAAAAACAAAAUAAAAUUUAUUUAUUUUAUUUGACCUAUCACAUUAUGAACAAUAGAGAUUCUAAUAAUGGUGAAUAAAAUUUAUUGAAUCUUUGAUGUGUUAGAGAAGGUGAUACAUUAGUACAAUCAAACAACUUAAAGAGUUUUGUUUUUUAGCAAGAAACUUAAGAUUCGUAAAAGCUAAAAGCUAUUUUUUAAAAAGAUGGGUAAAAAAAAACAAAACCCUUUUUUUGUUGGUCGUUGCAUAUAUUAUGCAUUGUUCAGCUGAACUAAGGUUACAGAGACAAACAACAACAAAAAACCCUAGCGAAACUUGAUAUGCAUUGAGUAUAAUUUUGCUUGAUUUAUUUUGCUUAUUAAUAGGAACAAAGUAUAAUUAAUCUUAGAGGUGUAUGAUUUUAGGCAAAUAUUACCUAUGAUUCCUAGAGGUAUAAGACCAGAAAUUGUUCAUGCCACUAUUAAUUCUUCGCAUCUUUGGAGACACUGCGAGGUGCUUAGAUUAACAAAGAACAUGAGACUUUUGAAUGGUGCAUCUGAAGCAGACAUCGAGGACAGAAGAAAAUUCUCAGAAUGGGUUUUAAGUAUCGGCGACGGUAUAAUAGGGGAAGACAAUCUGGUGGACAAAACAAUUACUAUUCCAACAGAUUUGUUGGUUGAUGUUGAUGGCUGUCCUAUUGCUUCAAUUGUUCGAAGCACUUGUCCUAAUCUAUUGGCAAGCAUGGGUGACAUAGAGUACUUUCAAAACAGAGCCAUAUUGACAUCAAAAAAUAUCAUUGUUGAGAAAAUAAAUGAAUACAUGUUGGAUAUGGUGCCAGGAGAGGAAAAAGUAUAUUUGAGCUAUGAUUCACCGGACGAACGUAACGUCCGUGGUGAUGCAAUGGACGAUGUUCAUACACCCGAAUUUCUUAACACAAUUGUUGCCUCGGGACUUCCUAACCACAAGUUAAGGUUGAAGGAAGGAGUGCCUGUUAUGUUGUUGAGGAAUUUAGACACAAAGAAUGGUUUAUGCAAUGGAACCAGACUUAUUAUAACUAGAAUGGGAAGAUAUGUCUUAGAGGGCAAGGUAAUUUCCGAAAGUAAUGUGGGUGACAGAGUCUUUAUACCUAGGUUAUCUCUAUCACCCUCCGAUGUGAGAAUCCCUUUUAAAUUUCAAAGAAAACAAUUUUCUUUGGCUGUAUGAUUUGCAAUGACAAUCAACAAGAGUCGAGGACAAUCACUACAAAAUGUUGGAGUAUAUCUCCCGGCGCCUGUUUUUUUUCUCACGGACAAUUGUAUGUUGCUGUUUCGAGAGUUACAUCUAGAGAAGGUUUGAAGAUAUUGAUCACCGAUGAAGAUGGUGAUGACACAAAUCUAACAUCUAAUGUGGUGUAUGAGGAAGUAUUUCGAAAUGUCUGAUGUAAAAGUCACAUAUAAAAUACCUUACUUUUACCUAGGCUUCAUAUAUAAUACUCUUGCAUUACAAUCCGUCUGUAACUAUCUUCUAAGAUGUUCUUAAUUAUUAUUACCUAUCAUCCUUUAUACCUUUUCCAUAAAUCUAAAGCUUAUUAUAUUUUAAAGUCACCUAUGGCUUAUAAGACCCGUGCGGCGCUCAGAUCCCCUAUCUAGUUGAGUAUAAUUUUGCUUGAUUUAUUUUGCUUAUUAAUAGGAACAAAGUAUAAUUAAUCUUAAUGUGUUUCCGGAAAUAAAAUAUCAAUAAAAGCCAACAAAGCACACAAUUCAACAGUUAAUCAACGUGUUUUACUGGUGGUAUUUUCUUAAAGUUUUAACUUAUAGUAUAACUAUGUUUAUUAUUAUUAUUAUUUUUUUGGUAGAUUAACUAUGUUUAUUAUUAUAAGGCCUCUUUCCUAACAAAAUGUUUAUUAUUAUAGACCCUGAGAAAUCAUAAUAUUAUCAUCCUUACCGUUAUGUCGAGUAUCCUUGUAUUCUAAGCCCUUUUGGUUAUCUAGUGCCUCAUCUGCAUUAAAACCAAUUAGAUAAAAUAAAAGUGAAUAAUGUAUGGUUCUAUUUUAAGUUGUGUGUGUACACACAGUUCAUUAUCAAUAUAAAUAUUUUAAUAUUGUUAGCUAAUUUGUAAAUUUUAUUUGAUAAAUCAUAACUAAUAAAAACAAUAUACACUUUUAUCCCAAGUCUCAAUCCUCAACCAUAACUUUUUAAUAACUAUGAUUUCCUAGCAUUUCAACUUGCAUAUUUCAAUUUGUAAGAUUUUAAGAUAACCAAUAAAUAUUCCCUCAAAAAAAAAAAAAAAAGAUAACCAAUAAAAUUGCAAGGAUCAUUCUUUUUAAUAUAAAAUGUCAAGUGAAAAAUAUAAAUAUUAUUAGGGGUUAAUAUAUGUACGUCUUGUGUGGGGGUCUUUUGGUUAUUAAUAUAUGUGCUAUUUCGAAAAAACAAUUAUAUAAAUAUGAUUAAUGAACAAAUCAAUGGAUAAUAUUAUAUGAACUUAAAUUACUAAUUAUAUUCGGUUCAAAUACCGAUUAUUUAAUUCUUAACAAUACCCCUAAAAAAAUUAACAUUACUAAUUCUUAAUUUCUUUUAACAUUACUAGCUACUUAAUUAAGCUUGUAACAUAAAAAACUACUCAAAGUCAAAUCCAAAGCAACUACUAUUUAGACUUAUAGAAAUAACUGUAUUAUCCUUCUUACCAGUUAUGAGAACCUUCACUUUAUCUAUGCUAUUUUGUUCUUCUUGUAACCAAACUGCAAAUAUCAAUUGAAAAAAGUAAAAAAUAUAUACAAUCCAAGUAUAAAUACACUAUUCAUAUAAUUAUUUUAUACAUUACUACCUAAUCAUUAAUAUUACAGAAACAACUAUAGAGAAAAAUGACUCACCACUUAACUCGGGAUGAGUAUGAGGUCCAGGAGGACAAUUGUGAUCAACUGUAAUAUUGUAUAUACAAAAUAACAUAAGUUAGAUAUGAAUAAAACCUUUUAUAUAUUAGAAAUAUUGUGAAUAAAUACCUUGUUUUACACAUUAUACUAUAAUAUAAUGCUAAUUAUUAUCCUAUGUAAGAAUCCUUAACCACAACUUUAAUAAAAUUAUGUGGCACUCUGCUUCUCACAAUGUAGCAAUUAUAACUAUGAUAUACUACCCUUUAAAAGAAAUGAUAUACUAUCAAUAUUUUAACUUUUUAUAGGGCCAGUUUAUGAUUACUAAGAUAAAAGUUAAAUAUCCACCGAUUUCCAACUUAUCUAUAGGGCAUUACUAGUUUGAAUAUGUAAUAAAAAAAAUAUAAUAAUCAUUCAUGAAAAAGUUAAUGAUUAUUAUUAUACACACAUGAAUUAUCAUUCUUACCAGUUGAUGCAUCCUUCACAUAAUCUAUGCUCUUUUGGUCAUUCAGUGUUGAAUCUAAAAUAACAUUAAAUAAUUAAAAUAAGUUCAAUAAGAUAUAAAUAUAUGUGUGUAUGUAUAUAUACAUAUAUGUGUAAUUUAAUUAUAUACAUUUUCGAAAUACUGAAUUUAAAUAUUUUUAUACCCAUCCAUGUUACUAUAUUCUUUAAACAAGUUAUUUAAGAUAGAUCAUAAACACAAUAUAAGAUAAAAAAAAAUUGACUUUGUUUUAUUUCGAGUUAUAAAAAUAAGGGUUAAUAGUGUUUUUCACCCUGUAAUAUAUGUCAUUUCCGAUUUUCGCCCCUAUAAAAUUUUCGGUUUGAUUUGCACCCUCGUAAAAUUUUUAUUUUCCGGAAAACACCCUUAAUAGGCCAUUCAAAAACCAAAAUUUCUUAAAAAGAAAAUCUGAAAAUGGCCUAUUAGAGGUGUUUUCCGAAAAAUAAAAUUUUUACAAGGGUGCAAAUCAAACCGAAAAUUUUAUAGGGGCGAAAACCGGAAAUAACAUAUAUUACAGGGGUGAAAAAUACUAUAUUAACCCUAAAAAUAACUUACGCAUAAGAGAUUAUAUGAUAAGCGGUUAUGAUAUAAGUUUCAAAUGAAGUGCUAUAUUCAAAUAGGUUCUUUGUAUAUUAGGAUUGUCUAUAUGAGUAUGAGUACCCCCUAUAUUGUGUUUAUUGUUGUAUUUUAGGGUUAACAGUGCUUUAUCCCCUGUAAAAUUUUGUUUUAGUUUUCGUCCUUGUAAAUUUUUUUUUUUUUUUUAGAAUACCCCCCUAAUAGGCCAUGUAAAAAUCAAAAUUUCUGAAUUUUUUUUUAAAAAUGGCCUAUUAGAGAGGUAUAUUAGAAAAAAUAUUUUUACAAGGACGAAAAUCAAAACAAAAUUUUUACAAAGGGUAAACCCAGAAAUGACCUAUAUUACAUAGGUGUAAAGCAUUAUUAACCAUAUAUUUUAUAUGUUAUUCAAAAAAGAUAAAUCUUGUUAUAAUUAGUAAUUUAAAAUGACUCACCACUUAACUCAGGAUAAGUAUGAGGCCCAGGUGGACAUUCAGCUGUAUAAAAAAAAUUCAUCAACGAUAUAAAAAAAAAUAAAAAUAAAAAGCUUGAUAUGAAUAAACUCUUUAUGAUACAUAAGAGUGUUUGGCCCCAAUUUAAUAAAAUUAUGAAGAACUUCGCUUCUCUCGAAGAAUCACUAAUAACUAUGAUUUCUUUUGGUAAGGAAAAAACUAUGACUUCCUAGUAUUUAACUUUCAUUGCUCAAUUUGUAUUAUAUUAAAGUAAAAAUUGAAUAUGCAAAAAUAUCUAACUUAUCUAAACUGGAUAAUUAGUUUGAACAUGAAAUAAAGUGAAAAAUAUAAUAUUCAUUGAUUAAAAAAGUUAAUGAUUAAUAUUAUACAAUCUUUAAUUAUUAAUUAUUAUUUUUUAUUUUAAAUUACUAAUUAUAGUUAGUGGAAACAUGAUUUUUUUUAUUAGGAAAAUAAAUUAUUCCUCGGUUUUCUCUUUUCCCUUUCUCUCUUGUGAGCCGUCACCAAAACCCUAGUUUCUUCUCCUUCAUCUACCAAAGAGGAGUGAUUCAGUGUCAAUUUUUGACCCAAAAUCACCCCUCUAACUCGUUUUUCUCUUUCUCUUUUAUUGAAACAAGUGAUUUUCACAUCUAUUUCGUUUUUUAUUUUGUGAUUUCGUAGUCUUCGUGCGACAUUGGUUUGUUCGUCGUCUUUGUGCGACGUUUUUUUUUUUGUUUUUGUUUCUCUUAGGUAUUUGAUUGGUUCAAUUGUUAGAUCAGCUUCGAUCCCGUGCAAAUCCAAUCAAUGACUUUGACGUCAUCCACGUUGCAGAUCCGGAGACAUGGUUAUUCCGGAGAUUUAAAUACAGUCAUAUGUGUAGGCACUUGUACUUUGAUGUUUCAUGCUAUUAACAUGGAUGUUGUGAGUCUGUUCACAAAUUCAUCCUUUUUGUUUUUAGCGAAUUUGCAUUAUAUCGAUGUACUCUAUCAAUUUGAAUGAAUAAAUAUCUUUUAUUUUGUCAAAAAAAAAAAAAAGUUAGUUGAAAUAUCUAUGAUUUGAUUUUUAAAAUUUAUGGACUAGUUAAUUAAGAUCGUAAAAAACAACCAUGGAUUUAAGAAGAGUUAACUGCAAAACAAUGUUACCAAGUCCAUGAUGUAUAACUACUAUUUAGAACAUGGGAAAUUAUUGUAUUAUUAUCCUUACCGAUUGAUGCAGUCUUCACAAAAUCAUUGCUCAUUUGGUCAUCUAGUGUUGAAUCUACAAUAAAUUAAACAAUUAAAAAAAAUUCAAUAAUAUAUAUACAUAUAUGUGUGUGUGAAUUAUUUAUAUACACUCACAAUAUAAUGAAUUUAAAUAUUGCUAUACCUAUUCAUAAAUUAUUAUAUAAAUUAUUAUUAUAUAAUUGUACAUCACACUUUCUAUAAACAAUAGCAAGUAGAACAAAGAUUAAUUUAUUUUCAUCACUUAUGAAAAAAUCUAAAGGGUUAGAAUAUGACUCACCAUGGAUAGAGGGAUCAGCACGCAUAUUAUAAGCCAAAACAUGAGAAGAGAGAAGAACAAAAACACCAAGACCAAGGAACAUAUAUGAAUUUGAAUAAACCAUUUUGCUUAUUGGAGAAUGAAAAUGCAAUGUUUGAUAAAUAAUAUGUAGUCUCUAUAUAUAGGGUUAAAAGAUGACUUAUUUAUGGAGCCAAGAGUCAAUUUAAAUUAGUUAAAUUAAACAAAUGUGACCAUAUAAACUUCUAAAGAAAAUGUACAUAUUAAUAUUAAAAACACAAUAAUUAUUUUUAUAUUUUAUUUGGAAUUUUAAAAUUUAUAUAUUCGAAGGCAUAGGUUUCUUUUUCUAAAAUUAAAAAUGAAAUCUAGCUGUAAAAUGUUCAUACGUUUUCAAUAUUUUAAGUUAACUUGGGUAUCUCUAUUAACACUUCACAAUGAAUGUGGCCAUAUCAACUUCUUAAGAAAAUAUUCAUAUUAAUAUUAAAAGCACAAUAAUUAUCUAUAUUAUUUAUUUGGAGUUUUAAAAUGUGUGUCUUUAAAGGCCUAGUUUUUUUUUCCCUCAUUUAAAAAUGAAAACUAGCUAUAAUAAGUUCAUAUAGUUUUAUUGUUGUAGGUUAAUUGGGGUAUCUAUUAUCACUUCACAACGAAAUUAUUUAAUAUUUCUUGAAUUAUGGUGAGUGGCCAAUGAUAUAUUAAAUAAUCAAGUACACUAAUAUUGAUGUUGACAUUUAAAUUGUUGAUUUAAUCGUUGAUGUAUCAUUUAUACUGUUGAAACUCAUUUUAUUUUUGUCUAGGCCAAAUAUAACCCUAGGAGUUAAAGGCCGAAAAUGUGUCUGAUCCUAAUACGGACCAUCCUCUUAGAUAAUCACCUGGAUCACAUUUCAAUCAUAAAAACUUUAAAAUAAAAAAUCUUAGAUGUUUUCAUCUAACUUUCUUAAGUGUUAAGGAACAACAUUGAUAUCGUAUGAAGCAAAUAUUUUUUCUUGUAAUAAUUGUAUAUAUGUCAAGUGAUGACAAUUAGUUCUUUAAAAGACACAAAUUUGUAUCUUAUGCUUGAAUAAUAAAGAGUCCUUCUUGGAAAGAAGUGACUAGACGAAGUUAUCAAGUAUAAAUUCUCAUGUUCCUAAAAUAUUUGUGUGGCUAAACUUAUUCUGAUUUUUUCUUCCUCAUCAUCAUUCAAAAAAUGUGUGAGAUCAUUUAUGAAAACAUGCAUGGCCAUCAUAUGAAGUACUGAAAUACUAAUUAAAAUUUAAGAGAGACAAUACUCAUAAGCCCCACUAUAAGAGACUAAAUACAUAGUUAUCCUCCAAAAGCCUCAUAUAUAUAUAUUUCUUGCCUAAGAAAUUUAGGCCAUACCUAGAAGGAGUCCUGUCAGGUACAAGACCAUCAAUUUUUACGUAUUUAGGGGUUAGAACGUAAAAGCCACUUAGGGUUAUAUUGAGACCUAUUUAUAUAGGAAAAGUUUGGCCUUUUUUCAUCUAACUUUCUAGAUGGUGCUGAGUACGAUUGACGUCCUGAAUUCCACCCGAACAAGACAAUAGUAUACUUCUCAGUUUCUAAAUUAAAUUCAUUUAUAUAGUAUACUUCUCAGCUUCAAGGCAGAGGAUAUUUAUAUCUUCAUCCUUCUCAUGUUUUCUCUAAAGUAUGUUUUUCUAUUGUGUAAUGAUGUAUGUUGUCAUGUGCAACUAAACCUCUUUGGUUAGGGUUCUAAGAUUAACCCGGCCUUCUUAUUUGUUGGACUCUAUUAACAACAUUUCUUAUUCAGUUUAUGAUCUAAAGUCCAAUUUAGUUUGUAUAUGUCUGUUUCUAGAUGUCACUUUGAAAAGCAUUUGCAUUUGUGGGCUUUCAUGUAAUUUUGCUCAAAAUAGUGCAUUCUCUAUUCUCAAUAGAGCAGAAACAUUUUUUGUGUGGGACAACAGUACCUUUCCUCCCUUUUUUUUAAGUUGGUUCCAAAGUAGGGAGAGAUUGCUAAUCCUUCUAUUUUCUGUCCAUCAUCAAUCUUUCCUUAUGCUGUCACCCAAAAUAAAGAGGCCCUUAGAGAGAGAGAUAGAUAGAUAGGUAGGUAGGUAGGUAGUAGAUAGAUAGAUAGAUAGGUAGAUAGGUAGAUAGAGAGAUAGAUAGAUAGAGAUGUCAUUGUGAUAUCAAAUUGAUCUAGAUCGCAAGAACAAUUUAUGUAUUCAAUUGUAAAGCUUUAGUAAUCUUCUUUAGGGUAUAAAGGUGGAUCGUGUGGUAGCUAAAGUUUGAAGAGACUGUCCAAAACUUGUGUGGCAAAGUGGACCAUAAAAAGAAGAGAAAAUAGUGAAGAAUCUAAGAGGAUAUCUCAGACACCAUAUUAAAAAAUAUCACAACAAGUGGGGACUGGACUAACCCUGUUAUGGUGAACGAAGAUAACUUCUUUGCAUCGUCUUCUUUAUGCAUUACCUCCUUUAUUUGAUAGUUCAGAAGCAAGUUCAUUCAUUAAUUCUCUUCUUGUAUGGAAUUCAUUUUGAUACAUACUUCAUAUCAUCAUCAUAUAUGAACAUCUUAGGUUUGAGAAACACACAAAAUUCUCAAAGUGUUACAAUUCAAACCACAUUCCUUGUGACUAUUAUUUUUACUCCAAAUGCCAUCAAAGCACUUCAUCUUAGGUUUAAUCAUGUUUGGUACAUGAGCCUUGUAUCUUAGCUCUCAUUUUGUUAAUGUUCUAUAAUUAGUUGUUUUUUUUUUUAGGAUAGUUAUCUUUGUUUUAUUGGUGACUGACUUUUGUCUUAUAAAUUCUUUUGGGAUCUCCUUAUGGUUCAAUAUAAACUCAAGUCUUGCAGCAUAUAUAUAGAAAAUUAUCACUAGAGUGUGUACUCUCAACCUUUUUAUUUAAACAUAUUAUUAUGCACAUCAUUGCAUGCUCAUAUAUAUAAGGCACCAAAUGAUAUACACAUACUUUUUUUUGUUUCAAGAAUACACAUAUACUUUUUGAUAGUUGGUUUAACUAGAUUAUUUUGUUAAGGAAAUUUUAUCUUCCUCAUCACUUUUGAAAACAUUAUCUUCCAUGUUGCUCAUGAAAACAUUAUCUUCCUUGUCAUUUUUAGAAACUGCAUCUUCUCCAUCAAUUUUGGAAACUUGAUCUCCCUCAUCAUUUUUGGAAACUUUAUCUUCUUCAUUACUCUUGGAAACUCCAUCUUCUUCACCACUUUUGGAAGCUUUAUAUUCCCUAUCACUUAAGGAAACGUUAUCUUCUUCGUCAAUUUCCGAAAAUUUAUUUCCCUCAUCACAUAAGUGUUUUAGAAAUUUUCUGCUAUUAGGAAUAGUUUCAGCACACUUCUUCUUGAUCAGAUUUCCACGGAAA
rnacentral:lncRNA from 1 species